rnacentral:lncRNA from 1 species
UUACCCUCAAAUGAAUCACCUUUGAACGUAGAAAACUGAUUAUUUUGUGGUAUUGGACCCGUGAGAUUGUUAAAGGACACAUUUAAGAAUUCCAAAAAGGUGAUUUGUGCCAACUGUUGGGGAAUUUUCCCUGAAAGACUGUUGACAGAAAGAUCUAACGCUUCAAGGUUAGAAAGCUUCCCUAAGGAAGAUGGUAUGCUUCCAAUAAGGUGGUUAUUUGACAAGUUGAGCAAAACAAGACCCUUCAACUCGCCUAUCACUUGUGGUAUCUCUCCGCUGAUUUUGUUGCUUGAAAUAUCAAUGGCUAUCAAGCUGUAAAAUUUUUGAAGCUUCACAUAAACCCUGGCCAGUCCUUUGUUUGACAUAGUGAAAGAAUAAAACUUUUUUUCUAACAUAUGAUAUUGUCGUGCAUACUUCGAUCUUAAGUAAGACUCGUACUGUAACUGACUUGCAUUGGAAGUAUUCAUUGCUUUCCAACUUUGGAUCAUUUCUGUUGGAAAACUGCCAGAGAAGUCAUUGUGAGAAAGGUCAAUGAUGUGAAGUUUGGAAAAUGUGCAUGUCAUGUUGCCAGAGCACCUAAUGUCUCCAUGGAAUUCAUUGUUACUUAAAGACAAUACCUUCAACUCCGGUAACUCUCCCAUCCAGAAUGGAAAUGAAUCAUUGAUGUUGUUAUAACUAACAUCAAAGAAUUCCAGCCUUCUAUUGUUGACCAAAGCCCUUGGCAACUGACCCUGCAGAUUGUUGUUGCUAAGAUCAAUCUGUUUAAGGGAAUUUCCUAUCAUGUAUGUUUGAGGAAUGAGGCCAGAUAAUUUAUUCCCUUUUAGAUCCAGACUUUCUAAAUAUUGGCUAAACUUCCCUAGACAUGAAGGAACAUUGCCGCUUAAGUUGUUGAAUGAUAAAUCAAGUUUCCUGAGUGAUUUGAGAUUGCAUAUGGAUGGGGAUAUUUCUCCUACCAAUGAAUUGUUGGAAACAUCUAAGAUUUGUAGACUUUCUUUUUUCCACAACCAUUUGGGUAGCGAAGUUAUAUUGUUGUUUGACAGUAAAAGAGUUUCCAUAUCACUAAGAUCACUUAUGAAUGUUGGAAUCUCAACAAAAUUGCAUGAAGCCAAUCGUAAAUCUUGAAUUAGAGAAUCAGUCAUACGAGAUGAACUUUUUCCACUAUACAAUGACAGUUUGUUAAAUGAUAAAUCAAGAAAGACUAGCUUUUUGAGGUUCAGAAACUUGUCUAACUCUAGCUUUCCAUGCAAAGAAUUAAAGGGUAGGUUCAAGACAACUAAAUUUGUUAGGUUCAUAAUCCAAGAUGGAAUUUCACCCUUUAUAUUGCUAUUUGCUGCACUUAAAAGUACUAGCUGAGUGAGAUUUGCAAAAGAUAAUGGAUGUUACUGUCAAUUUUGACUGAGGAUAUAUCCAAGGCAAUUAAUGACGAGAGCUUACCUACCCAUGAGAAGGUCUCAAUAGUAAAUUCAUUCAAAGCAACAUCCAAGACGCUUAGUUUUGUAAGAUUGGCCAAGGAUGCAGAAGGGUCGCCCCUAAAUUUGUUAUUUCUAAGGUCUAUCUGCAUGAGUUGUGUGAGGUUGCCAAGUGAAGAAGGAAUAUAUCCAAAAAAAUGGCAAUCUGGAAUUGUUAGAGUAUCUAAAGAAGUAAGCUUUCCAAUAGACACUGGCAGUGUACCAGAGAAACCUGUCUGAUCAAGUCCUAACUUGGUGAGUGAACUAGACUGAAACUCAGGUAAACUUCCUUUGAGAUUUGGAUUAGAUCUCAAAUCCAGAACUUCCAAGUUUGGAAGAUGAAAUACUCCAACAGGAAAUUCACCAUACAAUUCAGAAUUGUAUAGAGACAGUGCUUUCAAUGAAGUUAGAUUUGUGAGUGUAUCUGGUAAAUUAGAUGAAAUUGUUACAGAACUAAGAUAAAGGGUCUCAAGUUUUGUUGAGUUUUGAAUUAUGCUUUUGAGACUGGAUAAUUUGAGUUGCAGCAGAUUGUCUGUAGCUCUGAAGCCUAGAUCAAGAGACAACAACUUGGACAACUGUGAAACUUGUGGUGGAAUUUCUCCAGAAAAGAAGCUCAGGGAAAGUUUCAGAUGUUUUAAUUGUGAAAGCUCACCUAUCUUGGAUGGGAUUUGAGAGUAAUUGAAGUCAUUGUCAGAAAGAUCAAGAACUCGAAGGUGCACAAGGCGAAAGAGACUGCUAUUUGCAUCCAUUCUACCAUAGAGUUGGCUGCUACUAAGAUCAAUGUGAAUCACAUGGUCUGUGUGCUCAUGACAUUUAACGCAUCCCAUGAGCAACAAUCUGUGCUGGAAUUCCAAGAUGAUGUUUUAGGAUAACCAAGAAGAUCAUCAGAGGCUAAGUUAUUGAUGACAAAGCCUUCCUUAAAUUGCAACAAGGCAUGGCUUUCAUCACCAUGACACUUUGGAUGAAUUUGAGGAAAACAUGUAGUAAAUGCGAAAGAGAAGAGUGAAUAAAGAAAAAGAAAUUUUACUAACAAAACAAGAGACCUGACAAACACCAUUGUAUUUUAAUAUUUUGAACUGAAUAAAGUGAAUGUUUUGGAUGAAAUGCUAGACACAUACUAAGUGAUUCUUAUAGUAAAUGAAAAUGUUUUAUAGUGAAUUUGAUUAUCAUUGACCGUGCAUUUUGGUUUAGGACUAACAUCACAAGUCUAUUUGAUGUUUUAUCAUGUAGUGAGGCUUUCUUAUCUUCCACAAAUUUCAUUUUCUGUCCAUUUUUGGUUUUUCUUUUCUAAUUUCAGUACAUUUGUCUCUAUUGUUUGACUCAGCAAUUUCCUAUGACUUUCUUGCUUCUUGCAUUCUUGGAAAACAAUUUAAUUGACUUAGUCAAUUGUUCCUGUGCAAUUUUAUUUCAUACCGACAUAACAAUUUGUUUUCUCCCUUCAUAUACUCACCAUUUUAUUAUUUGGUUUUAUGCAUGAAAUUCAAUCUAGAACCAUGUAAGAGCAUGCACAAAUUUAUUGAAAAAUUAACUAUUUUAUAUGUACAAAUUUUUUUAUUGAAAAACGCAUUUUAGGGAAAAGAUACUUGGAAAAAUGAAUGAAAUUUGUACCGUCCUGAUGUUGAGAUUUCUUACUAUGAUUCGGGGAUCUGUUUGAUUGUUUGGAGAGAAGGUUUUGUUGGGAAGAAAAUAAACUAGAGAGAAAUAUUUCGUUUUCUUUGUUUGAGAGAUUGUUUGUAGAGAAUAAUAAAUUAAAUAUACUAACAUUAAUAUGUUUUAAAUUUUGAGACUUCUAUAAUAACAUAAAUUGAAUUUAAAUUUUUUAUCUAAAUUCUCUGAAACUUUCAUCCAACGCAAUUUUUUUAACUUUCUCAAAUUCGAAGGAUUUUGUAUUACUGAAGAAAAACAACAGCUCAAAGUUUUCUCUUUCCAAACCCCACCAUUCUCCCAAAUAGACUCUUGGUGAUGCAAAAAGAGUUAAUCAAGCAAGAGACUAUAGUAUGACAGUUUCUUUUCCCACCUACAAUAUCUGAUUCUUGUAACUCAAUAUCUCUUUGUAAAGAAACUCAUAUCAUUAUAGUGGAACGGAAAGCUGCUCUCUCCCCCAGACUAGGUCAUCAUUAGACCGAACUGGGUAAACAAAUUCUUGUGUUCUCCUUCCUCCUUAUCUCUUGCUAUUUUUGUUUGGAUUAUUUGCUACCCGCUUGUUUUGAUUACUUGGUAUUAAUUUGCUCCACGCAUCAAGUUUUUUAUUGGUGUGUUUCUCAACGAAUUCACAACAACCCUAUUUUGGGAUUCUAAAAUCGGAAAAAAUGGGAGGAUUUUAAACGUAUUUUAUGCUUUUGAAAGAUACAAUCCAAAAUACAGUUGGGCACGCGAGAGGCAAAUAAGGUGAGAUAAGAAAUUCACUUAUAGCAUAGUUCUCUAUUUGCCUUUUGACAAAAUGUGGCAAUCUUCCUAAGCUUUGCCCCCAAUCUUCUAAAUAAUAUAAGAAAGACAUUAAGAAAGUAAUGCCUGAACAAAUCUAUCAAAGUUUAUUUCAUAAGAAAAUUUAUUAUCACAAUUCACAACAUACAAAUUCAAUAUAAGUGUUUUUAAAUCUGAACAUAAUUUAAUCAAAUUUGACAAAAGAUCUCCCAUCUAUAUUACAGAAGAUUUUACUUAUUUGUAUCACAAUCUUCUCUAGUCUCUAAUGAUCGGCAACUUGGGUGUAGAAUGCAGACACAACAAUUAGUCCAAAUGAACAUACAAGCUAUAACAAUGAGUAAUCAGACUAAAAUAUAAAGACAACACUGUCAUGAAGUCUCGACUUUUGAUUCUGAGCCACACAUUCUGAAAUCCACAUAAGAUUUCUUAUCUCCUGCUCCCUUAACCUCAUAUAUGCGAAGAAAACAGCAUAGUGAAACUGCAAAUAUAGACAAAUUAGGAUGGCUUAGUGAAUGAAUAAAACAUACGUACACCAUACAAAAACAUUUAUAAUUAAGCCAGUCAAUAUCCUUCCAACUUAAUAUUAUGAUAUUCUGAACUGUUAAAAAAAUUAACCUGUUGCUCAAAUGCUAAGCAAUGCCUCUUGACUUCCUCCUCAUAGAAUGCCUUGUCAAGCAUCUGGCUCUCCCCAUACGAUAACUUCGCAAAGAUAGAUUGAUAAGGAGGGUAUUUUUCCAUAACAGCACGAACCUACGCGAGCAACUGAAAUUCUGGCUUCGUUAGCUUAAGAUGUUUCACACGAUGUUGCAACACUUAAUCAAACAGAUUCAGAUGUUUAACAAAAGAUUGAAACAUUAAACUAACAUCAAACAACAAAAGCAUAAACAAACAGAAAGGAAAGGAGACACAAUAAUUUGUUAACCCAGUUCGGUGCAACGUCACCUACUCUGGGGGCUACCAAGCCAUGAAGGAAAUCCACUAGUAGAUCGUAUUCAAAAAGCUCUCAGCAAACCACGUUUGCACUUGAUGACCUAGACUCUACCCGUAAUGAUUUCAGCCUAAGAACUCCUAGACUUGAGAUCCCAUCCCACUUCCUUAUCUCUCUAAUCACAGACCCUGUGAUUUACAAUUCAAUUAUCAAAGCACAAUAGAAGUUACCUUCCAACACAAUAACAACAUACACCUUUGUUUCACAACAUUGGUGCAGCCUUACAACUACCUAUCUCCUUGCUUAAAAGCUCUGGACUAGUGCACAAUUACAACUUAAGUGACAGUCCUUAACAUGUAUCAAAAGACACACGAAAGGCUCACAAAAAUGACUCAAAACCCUAGACACUCUAAUUUGCUUAGUGACGGCUUGAAUGGUCUUCAGGUCUUGCAGUCCUCUUCUCUUAUACUGAAGCGAUCUGAUCAUCAUGAAUCACGGGCUCCAGAAACAAUCGGGCGAUCAGUUACAAGUCAAAGGUCCAAAUAAGGAAACUUACCAUAACAGGCUUGGCAAAUUUAAUUGGACAUUAUGAUCACCUUAAAAGAUAUUCCUAAGAAGCUUGCACAAUCUCAGGAACUUAAAGUUGUUCUGAUCUUCUCCUUAAACACGCAGGUUUGACCAAUCAUAGAUUGGCGUGGACUUCCUUAAAUAGCGCAGGCGCGUGCGUAAAAGAAGGCGAGGCGCAGAACACACAGCCAGGCCUUGAUGUCAGAACAUUGUGUUCCACAUCCGAUAUGAAUAUUUGUUUUAGGCAAAAAGAAGCCAACAUACAAAUAUCCAACAAUCUCCCCCUUUGGCAAAUUUUUGGCUAAAACAACUUCAUGCCAAUCUAAUCAAACCGGAGAGAUAAGCACAUGCACAAUUUUCUUCAAUCAUCAAAAACACAAAUAAAACAUCCAUGAAGAAAAUACACAGCUCUUGGAAAACUAAGAGGUACCAUACAUAUAAAACUUCAAUCACAUCACAAUCUUCAAGACUUCAGAAUUAUAUUAUGAUCUCUGAAUCUACUCUCAUAAUUUUUCAAAAACAAAACACCAUAUGAAUCCAGUAGAUGAGAGAAUAAGAUACCAAAUAGAAAACCAGAGAAUUGCAGCAGCGGAUAUACAGGAAAAAUAAUUUCCUGAUAGAACAUGCAGAAUAUACUGAUGUUCAGACAUUCGUAAAAGCAUCCACACAUAAUGGAAAAAAUAAAUUUUCAUACACAGCAACUGCAGAACAUAAUCACUCCCCCUCAAUUAAAUAAUCAUUGAGUGAUUACUUAAAUAGCCUUACUCCCCCUGAACAUGUGCAUCCAAGGUUUGUAGCUUCUGCUGGCAUCUGUCCUUACAGCUGGAUAUUACAUAGGUAUGACCACUUUAUUACUCCCCCUUUUUAGCUAGAAAAUAUGCCAUACCCAGUAACCCAGUAGUGAACCACUUACUGCUCCUUAUGCAAGCAAACACCCAACUUGCUCCUUAGAUUCUCAAAUUGUUUGACAUCUAAAGCUUUGGUGAAAAUGUCAGCCAAUUGUUCUUCAGUGGCUACAUGCUCUAGAGUUACAACCUUAUCUUCAACCAGAUCCCUGAUGAAGUGAUGUCGGAUGUCAAUAUGCUUUGUUCUGCUGUGCUGAAUAGGAUUUUUGGAGAUGUUGAUUGCACUAAGAUUAUCACAGUACAAUGUUAGAACACUUUGUUAUACAUCAUAUUCUUCCAACAUUUGCUUCAUCCACACCAACUGAGAACAGCUACUUUCUGCAGCAAUAUAUUCAGCUUCUGCUGUUGAGAGAGACACAGAGUUUUGCUUCUUGCUAAACCAGGACACCAGAUUGUUUCCAAGAAAGAAACAUCCUCCUGAUGUGCUUUUUCUGUCAUCUGCACUACCUGCCCAAUCUGCAUCACAAUAACCAAUCAAUUGAGAGUUGUUACUAUGAGAAUACAGAACACCAUAGUCUGUGGUGCCAUUGACAUAUUUCAGAAUUCUUUUGACUUGAGCCAGAUGGCUCAUUUUGGGCUCUGCUUGAUAUCUUGCACAAACUCCCACAGCAAAAGUUAUAUCAGGUCUGCUUGCUGUAAGAUAAAGUAGACUUCCUAUCAUACUCCUGUAUAGACUUUGAUCAACAGCUACGCCAUUUUCAUCCUUUGACAGCUUUAGAUGAGUGGCUGUUGGAGUUCUUUUAUGACUGGCAUUAUCCAGUCCAAAUUUCCUCACAAUAUUCUUAGCAUACUUGCUUUGAGAGAUGAAAAUAGUGUCCUCCAUCUGUCUUAUCUGUAAGCCAAGAAAAUAGGUCAAUUCUCCUACCAGACUCAUUUCAAAUUCAGAUUGCAUUUGUUGAACAAAAUGUUGAACCAUUUGGUUCGACAUUCCUCCAAACACAAUAUCAUCAACAUAUAUUUGUGCUAUCAUGACUCCUCCAUGUUCCUUCUUAACAAACAAGGUCUUGUCUGUACCACCUUUCUUGUAUCCUUGAUUGAUCAGAAAUUCUGUGAGUCUCUCAUACCAAGCUCUGGGAGCUUGUUUUAAACCAUAUAAGGCCUUCUUGAGUUUGUAGACAUGAUCUGGAAAGUUUGGAUCAAUGAAACCUUUAGGUUGUUCAACAAACACUUCUUCAUGCAGAUAGCCAUUUAGGAAGGCACUUUUAACAUCCAUCUGAAAAAGCUUGAAUUUCAGAAUACAAGCUACCCCCAAAAGCAGUCUUAUGGAUUCCAACCUGGCAACAGGAGCAAAUGUUUCAUCAAAGUCUAGCCGUUCCACCUGUGUAUAACCUUGGGCCACCAGUCUUGCCUUGUUUCUUGUGAUGAUCCCAUUCUCAUCAGACUUGUUCUUAUAUAUCCAUUUUGUGCCAAUGACAUUUAUGUCAUUUGGCCUAGGCACCAAUUCCCAUACUUCACUCCUCUUGAACUGAUUGAGCUCUUCUUGCAUGGCUUCAAUCCAGAAUUCAUCAGUGAGAGCUUCUUUUACAUUCUUAGGUUAAAACUUGGAAACAAAACAGGAGUUGGAAACAACUUCAUUAGAUCUUCUUGUUCUGAUUCCUUGAUUUGGAUCUCCAAUAAUCAGAUCUUGAGGAUGAUUUUUCUGUACUCGGAUUGAGGGUCCCUUAUUUGCUUCAGCCUGAUCUACCUCAGCAACUACAGAAGUAGCUUCAGGUUCAACUUCAGUCUCUGGUACAACAUUUUCUUGAGUUGAUGUUUCAAGAUCAGCUUCAACAUCAGGAACAACUUCAGAGAUUUCUUCUUUGACACCAUCAUCAAUUACCACAUUAAUGGAUUCCAUGACCACUUAAGUUUUGUUGUUGAAAAUAUCCCAGAAAAAUUCCUUCAUCACUCUUAGGAUCCAUCUUUUUUCUGUAGUCUUUAUCAGCAAGAAUGUAGCACUUGCUUCCAAAAAUGUGGAAGUAUUUAACAGUAAGUUUUCUUUCCUUCCAUAGUUCAUACAGAGUAGUUGUAGUACCAGUUCUCAAAGUGACUCUGUUGUGAACAUGACAAGCUGUAUUCAUAGCUUCAGCCCAGAAAUGGUAGGGAAGAUGUUUAGCAUGAAGCAUGACCCUAGCAGAUUCUUGUAGAGUUCUGUUUUUCCUUUCCACCACACCAUUCUGUUGGGGUGUUAUAGGGGAUGAGAACUCAUGUCUGAUUCCUUCCUUUGCACAGAAUUCAUGGAAUCUGGAAUUCUCAAACUCAGUCCCAUGAUCACUUCUUAUCCUGACAAUGCCUCUAUUCUUCUCCCUUUGAAGUUGAAUGCAAAGUUCCUUGAAAGAUUCAAAAGUAUCUGACUUUUCUCUAAUGAAGUUCACCCAAGUGAAUCUUGAGAAGUCAUCAACAACCACCAGAACAUACCUCUUUCCACCAAUACUGGCCACUUGCAUUUGUCUCAUUAAAUCAAUAUGAAGAAGUUCAAGAGUCUUAGAGGUACCUUGAUGUUCCAACCUUGGAUGAGACACCCGUAUCUGUUUACCAAUCUGACAUUCUCCACAAAUACUUCUUUCAGUGAUGUCCAGCUUGGGUAACCCUCUGAUUGCAUCAUGAGAUAUGGCCUUCUUAACCCCUUGCAUAUUCACAUGUCCCAAUUUUUGGUGCCACAGUUUAACUUCUUCAUCUUUGCUUAUCAGACAAGAAGACAAAUGAGCCUUUUCUUGAGACAUCCACAAGUAGCAGUUGUCCUUUGAUCUAGUCCCCAUCAUGCUCAAUUUUCCCUUUCCAUCCAAGACCUGACAUUCAGUUUUACUGAAAUUUACACUUAGCCCUUGAUCACACAAUUGACUGAUGCUGAUCAAAUUUGCAGUUAGACCAUUUACCAACAAGACAUUACUCAGCCUAGGAGACCCUUCUCUAACUAAGUCUCCAAUCUCAACAAUUUUUCCUUUAGCACCAUCCCCAAAUGUAACACAGCUUUUUGCAUAAGUUCUAACAUUUUCCAGAAAGCUCUCAACUCCAGUCAUGUGACGGGAACAACCACUAUCAAAAUACACACUUAGGUAUCCAUUCUUUCUUCAAAGCAGACCUAGGUUGAUAUUGCUUAGGUAUACCAGGUAAAUCAAAACAGAAGGAUUUUUUAUGUCCUGGUCUGUUACAGAAAUCACAUCUCAAGGUGGAAGAUUCUUUCACUGACUCAGAGAUAGAAAGUUCUACUGAAUGUUCUAACAUCUUAUCUGGUACUGAUACUUUACUAGAGGAGGUUACAAACAUUAUUUUCUUCACAGGUUUUUUAUUUCUAUUCUUCUGAUAAUGUUCUAGGGCCUGGGAAUGACUAUUGCUAUGAUGUUCUUUCUUUAGGUGUUCAUGAGUGAAUCCUAUCCCAUUAGGUUUCCCUACAAUUUGACUAUUUAACAUCCUAUCUAGUACUUCAGUUCCAGUAGUCAUCAUCUUAACUUGUUUAAGAACAUGGUCAAGUUGGGACUUAAGAAGAAUUACCUCAUUGUUCAGUUCAGUAAUCUUGGACAGAUGCUUACUUCUUUCUUGUAAGAGUUGAUUAAUAGUUGCUUCAUGCCCUGAAGUGAAUUUGGCAGAAACAGCAUUAGUUCCUUCUUGAUCACAUUUUGGAAGAAUAACUUCUUCACAGAUAAGCUCUUCAUCAGCAGAAUCAUAAGAUGGCUCCACUCUUCCAGUCAUGGCAGUGACAUGUCUAGCCGCAUCACUAUCAACAUCUCCAUCUGUACCUUCAUCAUCAGAUCAAGCCACAAUCAUCCCAUUCUUUUGUUUCUUGAGAAAGGUUGCACAUUCAGUUCUGAUAUGCCCAUAACCUUCACAUUCAUGGCAUUGUACUCCUUUGUACUGACUAUUCUUUUCAUCACCUCUGUCAUAUUUUGGAUUCCCUUGUUGCCUGUCGGUGUUGAAUCUGAAGUUCCGCCCAUUUCCUCUGAAUUUGUUGUUGACUUGUUUCAUAACUCUGUUGAAUUGUCUACCAAGCAUGGCCAUAUCUUCUGUUAGCUUGUCUUCUUCUGCAUCUUCAUCCUUUCCAACAUCAUCAGCUGUGCUUGUUGUGAAAGCAAUGCCUUUUCCUUUCUUCUCAGUUCUGUUGUCAACAACAAGCUCAUAGUUCUGAAGAGAACCUAUGAGUUCUUCCACUUGCAUAUUGGAUACCUCCUGUGCUUCUUCAAUGGCUGUUACCUUCAUGUAAAAUCUCUUUGGAGAUCUGAGAAUCUUUCUUACCAAUUUCUCAUCUGACAGCUUUUCCCCAAGGGAAUCAAAUGAAUUUGCAAUGUCUAAAACAUUCAUGUAGUAGUCUUGAAUAGUCUCAUCCUCUUGCAUUUUCAGACUUUCAAAUUUGGUUGUUAAGAGCUGGAUUCUUGAGCUCUUUACCUUAGAAGUUCCUUCAUGAGUUGUCCUGAGGAUGUCCCAAGCAUCUUUGGCAACAUCACACUUUUUGAUGAGUCGGAACAUGUUCUUGUCUACCCCAUUAAAGAGAGCAUUUAACGCCUUCGAAUUUGCAAGAGCCAAUUCAUCUUCAGGAGCAGUCCAUUCCUCUUCUGGUUUCAGAUCCGUUGUUUUGUUGUCAUCCUUGUCAAGAACAACAGGAUGUUCCCAACCUCUCAACACGGCUUUCCAGGUCUUGCUGUCAACAGACUUUAGGUAAGCACUCAUGCGAGACUUCCAAUAGUCGUAGUUGGUUUCAUAUAACAGAGGUGGUCUGUUAACGAAUCCUCCUACUUUCUCCAUAUUGCCAGAAUAGAACUCCUCUAGAUCUCACCCAAUAACAGGCAGGGUGCCUGCUCUGAUGCCAAUUGAAAUUCUGGCUUCGUUAGCUUAAGAUGUUUCACACGAUGUUGCAACACUUAAUCAAACAGAUUCAGAUGUUUAACAAAAGAUUGAAACAUUAAACUAACAUCAAACAACAAAAGCAUAAACAAACAGAAAGGAAAGGAGACACAAUAAUUUGUUAACCCAGUUCGGUGCAACGUCACCUACUCUGGGGGCUACCAAGCCAUGAAGGAAAUCCACUAGUAGAUUGUAUUCAAAAAGCUCUCAACAAACCACGUUUGCACUUGAUGACCUAGACUCUACCCGUAAUGAUUUCAGCCUAAGAACUCCUAGACUUGAGAUCCCAUCCCACUUCCUUAUCUCUCUAAUCACAAACCAUGUGAUUUACAAUUCAAUUAUCAAAGCACAAUAGAAGUUACCUUCCAACACAAUAACAACAUACACCUUUGUUUCACAACAUUGGUGCAGCCUUACAACUACCUAUCUCCUUGCUUAAAAGCUCUGGAGUAGUGCACAAUUACAACUCAAGUGACAGUCCUUAACAUGUAUCAAAAGACACACGAAAGGCUCACAAAAAUGACUCAAAACCCUAGACACUCUAAUUUGCUUAGUGACGGCUUGAAUGGUCUUCAGGUCUUGCAGUCCUCUUCUCUUAUACUGAAGCGAUCUGAUCAUCAUGAAUCACGGGCUCCAGAAACAAUCGGGCGAUCAGUUACAAGUCAAAGGUCCAAAUAAGGAAACUUACCAUAACAGGCUUGGCAAAUUUAAUUGGACAUUAUGAUCACCUUAAAAGAUAUUCCUAAGAAGCUUGCACAAUCUCAGGAACUUAAAGUUGUUCUGAUCUUCUCCUUAAACACGCAGGUUUGACCAAUCAUAGAUUGGCGUGGACUUCCUUAAAUAGCGCAGGCGCGUGCGUAAAAGAAGGCGAGGCGCAGAACACACAGCCAGACCUUGAUGUCAGAACAUUGUGUUCCACAUCCGAUAUGAAUAUUUGUUUUAGGCAAAAAGAAGCCAACAUACAAAUAUCCAACAGCAACCAUGUAAAAGAAUUAAGGCUAAAAAAGCAAUACUAAAAGAAAUCAACUAGAAAUCAGUGGAUGUUAUAGACAACAAUGAUGAAUCUCAAAUAUUUCAGGGCGAUACCAACAAGAAAUUGGUAGCCAAAAGCAACUCAAAUUGCAAAUGAAGUAACAAUGAAAGUGCACAAAAAUAUGAAAUGAAAGUUUCAAAGAGAUCCCUCAAACAAGAAUCAUCUACAAGUAGGGCAGUCUCCUGGCGGUACAGGUUUAAGGUCAUGCAACGGCAAUUAAACCAGGGAUAAGAGGAAUAAUAUAGUUGCAGCACAUUACAAUGACUUAGGUACUAAUAAAAAAAAUCGAUAAAUAAUCUACUGCCCUAAGAAACACAAUCUAGAAGGGUCCAAGAAGCAUACAAAUUGAAAGAGGGAAAACACUGUACAUCAGCAAUGCAACAACCAAACGUUUAACACAAUUGAGAUGCAAAUCAUACCUGAUCAAUGUCCUCACAGACAGCAAGCUCCUCAUGACCAUAUGGAUAGCUGUUAAAAAUAAGUUGGUGAUUAGUAAAAUAAGCAUUACAAAUUAGUAUAUUGAUUUGCUUUUUCUUAUUUUUAAAAAUAUUUAUCUGAAGGAUUAGAGCUUACAACAAACCGAAGUUAGAGUACAACUUCCUACGGUCAUCUCUGGUAAGCUCAGUUCCAAUGCUGCACAACGUGGAAACCAUGGAUGCUAGUUAUGCAGAUAUCCAGAUAAACAAAAAGAUUGUACAAAACCUUCUUAGUGAUUUACCUGUUUAUGGUAAUAUUCACAGCCCUUCUAUCGGCCUCAAAAGCCAGAAGGUCAGACAUUAUCUCGGCAGUAGCACCACCAAGUUUCUGUUUGGGAAUAACAUUGAAAUUGAUGACUGUCAGGAGGAAAUCACAAGGGAAUACAAAUAACUAGCUGACAAAAAAGAGACUUGGAAAUCAAAAAGAGGCUUCACCUGACAAAAUCUGUAAAAAUCUUCAAGGUAUGCCUUGUAAAGAGUGUUCCUCAUUAUUUCAAUGUUCAUGUCAUCCAAGUCCUGAAAAUUAACCAAAACCAUGAGCACAUAAAUCAAAGAAAUAAACAUAUGAAGCUAUGCCAACGAAAUUAAUGCCUAUAAUAUCAAAGUUUUGGUACUAUUGUACUAUUGCAUGUGCAUAAUCCAAAUUAAUGCCUAUAAUAUCAAAGUAGGAAAAUUGUCUUCUGGAUGGCAACCAAGAGCUAUUUGCCUUCCAAUUUUUUUUAUAGUUUUACAUUACAUUUUUUUUCAGUCUAUUUGGUGAAAAUUAGGGGUAGAUAUAGAUAAUUUCAGGUUUAUGCAAUAAAACUAUACUACAGCAUUCAACACGCAGACUGAUUGAAGUUGAACCAAAGAAAAGGGAAACGAUAAUUCUGGAGAUGAUUUACCUCUGAUGUAAUGCACUCAGAGAAGUAUGGAGCCAGAGGAGUGUCAACAAGAACCAGCCUGUAAAGCUCCCUCAUAUUCUGAGCUACAGCCAAAGUGGCAAUACUGAGGAGAAUGCCACGGGGAGAAACAAAAGAUGAAAUCAAUAUUCUAUGUACCAACAACAAUAUGCUGCAAAAUGCAUAGAAGACGUCAAAAAAAAAAAGGCAUAGAAAUCAGGGUACCUGUCAAACAUGCCCAGUGGAUGGCAUUUUUCUAGAAGUUCUUGGACAUCUCUCUCAUGCAAGGUGCCAGUAACAAUCAAAACAACAUUGUCUAUCAUGUGACCAUAUCUGCAGAGUAAAAAAGAAAAUAUAUUCAUUUCAGCUUUACUUACAGACACGGGUACUGGAAACCACAUUGAUAUUGAGUAUUGGCACAUCAACACCGGUAAUUAACGACUAGUGACGGACACCAGACACGGUUUCAAUCUGAAGUGACAGUGCUGUAUAAACUUGUGUGUGCUCAGUAAAUACAAUAACAGAGCAAACAGAAAAUGAAAAGUUCACAUACGUGAUAUACUCUAAGAAGGUUGACAAGGGUUCUGUAGCUUGGCAUAGCAUGUGCUUGUAAUCAUCAACCAGCUUAAGAGUACAUUUCUCCACAAUUGUUGUUGUAUGCAACGGAGAAGGUUCUGCAAUAAUUAAGUCGUCAUCCAUCAGUAGAAAUCCAUAAUUUUAAGUACUACAAGUUAUCAUUAAGUAUACACCCUUGAAUUAAUAAGAAUACUAAUAAGCUGAAAAUUGAAACAAUAAUUUAUGAAAAUCUUCUAAAUCUUAAUUCAACAAAGAAUAUUGAACAAAACUUGCAGUAAUAACAGUUAACUUUUACACAAAUAUAAUAACAAAAACAAAUGAUAUCUUACUGAAGUCUACAAUAAUAGGGUAAUAUAAUCAUAGACUCAAUCAAUCAUUAAUCCAAGGUAGAACAUAUAUCCAAAACAACCGUCAUUAAAUUUUCAUGACUAGGAAGCAUGAUUAUCAAAUCGAGAUUAAAUUUGUGAAUUGCAAGAUCUAUUUUUUAAAAUCGUGAAUUGAAUCAUAUUAUGACUUGUAAAUACAUAACCAAUAAUUUUUAUUCUAAGUAAAAACAUGUAAGUAACUAGUGACGGAUCCAGAAAUUUCGUUUUGAGGGGGCAAAACUUUUUAUAUUAGAAAUAUUAAUAUAAAAUUUUUAGCAAUGUAAAAUUGAUAAAAUAAUAAUGAUUAUUUAACCCUGACACUUCUGAUCAAAGGCAUGUCGCGUGUAUAAAACGUGUGUCAGUAUCUGACACCACCGACACAAGUGAUUCUAUAAAAAUGUGAGUUGUGUUGUUUUCUAAAGAAUUUAUGGCUGUCCACAUGUUAGGUGUCCAUGCUUCAUAGAUCACAAUUUUGCAUAUAAUCAUAAAUAACAGAAACAUUUCUGAUCAACUAAGGAUUUAAUUUCGUUACAAUUUUUCAACAGCAAACAAUAAAUUUCAUCAAAAACAUCUCAAAAUUUCGAUAAAUUUUCCUUCAUUUCAGUUAUUGGCAUUUCAAAUCUACAAACAAUUGAAAUAAAUAUCGUGAUUUCGUAUGAUCAUUAAAAAAAUAAAACAUUUUUGAUUAACUAAGCACUUAAUUUUUAUUGAACAUCCAAAUAUUAUGAAAAAUUUCUCAAAACUUCUAGAAAUAAUUCUUCAGUUCAGUCAUUAGCUUUACUGUUUGAAUUAUUGACUUAGCAUACCAAAAAAUUUAUUGAGACACCAUGGUAUCUUAUAAUUUUCUUUCACAACUCUUACAUUUAUACACCCAUAAAUUUCAUAAACUUAUAUAAUACUAUCUUCGUCCUUAAUUAUAGGACCCUUUUAGAAAAAUAACUGGAACUAAGAACAUUGAAAGUCGUAAUAAAUUUGUCUGUAAUUAGUAUUGCUUUUACAUUUAUAUAUCCUUUAAGAAAGAGGAUUAGUGUAUGUUUUCAACAUAGUAUUUACUGAUGAAUGAAGAAAAAAAAUAUAAAAUAAAUAAGGGUGUGUUGGUAAAAAAUUAAUUAAUGUACUUGAAAAUACUAAAGAUGUCUUGUAAAAAGAGACAACGCUUUCUCUCAAAAGAGUCCUAUAAUUAGGGACAGAGGUACUAUCUCAUUUUCUCUUUAUCUCUCUUCCUAUCACAUUAACAAUAUAUCACAUUUAUCACAUUACUCUCUAUUAUCUCUUUCUCUUGUAAGGUGUUAAAUGAUUUUGGGUGUUUAUCAAAACAUUUAUCCUUUUGUUACUUAAGGUGUAUAUGAUAUCCAACAUUAAGUUAUUUAAUGUCCAUUUUUUUAUAUUUAAUAAAUUUGACGUUUUUUUUUCUCUCAAAAAAAAAAUUUGACGUGUUUUCCUCAAAAAAAAAAAUGACGUUUAGAAUAUUGGUACUUGGUAGCAACAAAAUUAAGGUUACAAAAAAUUUACUUAAAAUUAAAUAAAAUGCAAUAAUUAAAAGUUUAAUUAAACACGGAUACAAUAAACAACUUUGAAUGAUUCCAAAAUUUAUUGCUUUUUAUUCCAAAAUAACAAUUAAGGGUGUGUUUGAAUAGAGGGGAAGGGAGAGAAAGACUUACUUUUCUUUUUUAAAUUACGGAUAUUAUAAAAUAAUUUUUAAAAAAAUGAAUUAACAACAUGAUAAAUAAUUGAUCAUAUAAUACUUCAAAAACAUUAAAUUUAUUUUAAAAAAAUAAAAGUAAGUCUUCCCAUCAUUUUCUUUCCAAAACCCUCAAUUCAAACACACCGUAACGAGGUUUUGUCAUCAUCAUCGUCUUAAUAAUCAUCAUGAUGAAAAGAAAAUUGCAAGACCUAAUAAACGUGUGUGACCCUAAAAUACUCUAACAUGUUUGUACAAUUUUAAUCUAAUUCAAACACGUUGAAGAAGGUGAAAAGAGGAAAAUUUGCUCGUGUUUGCAUGAUUUUUAUAAACCUCUACAACUCUUUACUUUGUUGGACAAUUGUGAAAAUAUCGCUGGAAAAAAUUCCAACCCUAACAGCACUCUCAACACGUUCAUAAUAAAUUAUCUCUUAUGGUGUGUUUGGUUGUAAGAAGAAAGUGUAAAGAGAGAAAUUGGUGAGAGAAAGUAUAGGAAGAGAGAAAUAGAGUAGAUUUGAUGAGUUGUUUGAUAUAAGAGAAAGAAGAGAGAAAUAGAAGAGAAAAAAGUGUGAUUAUUUUUUAAAAGACAAAAGUACACUGGAACAUAAAAAUUAAUACAAUUGUGUAUUGUUUAAAUUCUAUUUUUAUCAAAAACUAUUAUUGUUUAUUAGUACAAUUUAAAAAAGGAAUAAUUCAUGCAAUUACACUAUUUUUCAAUUUAAUUAAUACAUUUAUCUAGUAAUGUAUUUUAGAUUCUAUUAGUAUCUUUUAAUAUAUGUUAGAUUUUAUACAAAAUAGCACCGGUGGGAUUUCUUUAAAUUGAAGUUACAUGCACAUAUAAAUAAAUAAUAAAUAAUAUAGAAAAAAACUCAAUACAUAAAGUUACAAAUGGAUGCCCAAGUCCAUUGCAAUCGUAUUAAAAAAGGGGUGUUUAUCAAGGGUAUAAACGUAAUAACAAAAAAACAAGCUUCCCUUUUCUAUUUCUUUGCUGAUGAGGAGAGAUUUGUAAAAGGUGUGGGACCCAUUAAUCUUGAGUCUCUCUUUUCUAUUUUUCUGCCGGCAAAUUCUAUGGUACACUCAAAAAUUUGAGUAUAUCGAUACACCAAUUUGUUAAAAUAAUAAUUAAAUGAGUUGAUUUUUGAAGAAAGGUAAUUAUUUUCUGUAAUUGACAUUUAUCAAAAUUAAAUAUUAUUUACCAAAAGCGUCGACAAAAUAAAAUAUAAUUUUUCUGAAUUUUUAUUACUUAUAAUAAAGAAUAUUGAUUAUUUUUUAUAAAAAAUUUUAAAAAUUUAAUAUUUUUAUAAACAAUGGAAUGAUGUUUCUUAUUAUGAGAUGAUGUUUUCUAAAAUAUAAACAUUCAUAAAUAGCUUUUUAUUUUAUAAAAGAAUCAUUAAUUUAUCAAUUUAUAAAGCAAGAGUACCGGUACACCUCAUUUUAUUAGGUGUACCGUAGAAGUUCCUUUUUCCGCCAACCAAACAAGAGAAGUUUUCUAUUAACUAUACAACGACUUUCUCUCAUUAAUAACCAACAACUCUUACGAUUAAAAAAAAAAUAUGGAUAAAUGUUGUUCAUACCAUUUCAAAUUCACUGGAUUUUUGCUCUUUUCAAUUCCUUUUUAUUUAUUUUCUAUUAUUUAUUUUCUAAACGCACAUAUUAAAAAGUAUACAUUAGUGAACAUAUUUAAGACAUUUUUAUUUUAUUUUAUUACCAUUUGAAUUAUUGAGUUCUUAGAGAAAAUCUAUUAUAGUUGCAACCCCAAAAUCAAAGAGAUUUUGACACACUCACAUAAACUAAAAUUAAAUCAAAACUAAUUUAGUAACAUCAAUUAAUAUCAUUGAAUUUCAUUCUCUUUUAAUUUUUUUCAUUUUAUGUGAGUGUGUUCAAAUCUUUUUGAUUUGGUGUUGUGACCAUAGAAGACUUUCUCGAGUUCUUAAUAGGUAAUUUUAUUUAAAAAAAUUAAAUAAAUGAUGUGUACAUGUGAGAUCUUUUAAUGACUCUUUUUAGGCUAAUACUUGAUGGUGUAUGGUGAUGACAUGUUGUCAUUACAAGUUUUUAUUAGUUAUUUUGAUGUUUUUAUUGAAUUUAUAUCAUUAUUAGACAGCCUGGAGGUGCAAAAAGCAAGAAAUUACAAAAAGUUGGAGUUUGCCAGAGCCUAUAAAAUCGGGACACAGUUGCAAAAAAUGUGACAUGAUUGCAAAAUCGUGACAUGAUUUUGACAGCGUCUAGAAGGAUCUAUUAGAGAUAUGAAGGCAAUCGUAACAGGAUUUCUCCAAUCAUGACACGAUUUUGGGCGCUGAUGCCUUGCCUAUUUAAGCCGAAACUUGUUACGAAAACAAGGGUUCUAAAUUUUGGCGAUCUGAAGCACGAUUUUGAGAGUAUAAGACUGAAGAGGUGGCCAUUCCACCAAACUCAUAGUCGAUCCUUGUAUAUUUUAAUGCUUCAUUUGAUUGUGUUAUUUGUAAUUUUCAUUAUGUAUAGCUAAAUCAUUAGAGAUUACGUCUGGAGAUGAUCUUGAUGUAGGCUUGUUUGAAAUAUGUGGUUGUGAAACUCUAUGUAUAAGAUUAUUAAUCUAGUCUUAUUCAAUUCAAUUGUUCUUAAUUUUUUUUAUAUACUGAUCAUAUAUAACAUGAAUUUGUGAGUAUGAAUGCCUACCGACAAUAACUUUCAACUUAAAUCUAAUUGGAUUGUUCAAAUAAACAGGGGUAGUCUAGGAAUAGAUGAUCGUUUAAUUGUGAUACUAGGUUAACGGUUUGAAAACCUUUGAGGAAUAUUAGAUCACCUAAUGAAUUAGAGAUUGUAAUCCAAGAAGAGGACUCCGACUCAAGGGAUUGCUCAGAGUUACUUUUGUUAAUCAUCGUAAAACUAAAGAAAUAUUCAUAUAAAAUAGAUGCAGUUUACCAAACAGUCGAAAUCAAAGGAUUCGAAAGAACUAAUUCAUCUAUCUCCUAUAUUUUCAUAACAGUUUUUACCAGCUUUCAAACUAUUUAUGCAAUCAAACCAACUGCCUAGGGCAACCCUAAAUUUUACACAUUCGAAUUAUUAACUGUAUUGCUAAAUUAAGAUUAAUACAGUCCUCAUGGAUACAAACUUUGAAUUAUUACUUUGAUAAUUUUGGUACACUUGUUAAAUAUCUAUUAUAUAGAUUGAUAAGUGCACCAAAUCGUACUCAAGUAAUAAAGUAGUAACUCGUUCAACCAAGUAGUUAGAUAAAUUUAUUUGAAGUAAAAGAAUUAAGAAACCGAAUUGUCUAGAAUAUUUAGAUGGGUGUUAAAGAUAAAGUAUUAAAUACAUUAAAAUUACAAUAGAAAUUCUUGCUUGAAUACAUUGGCUAAUUAGUCUUAUACAUCUAAUAAGUAUACUAGCUCAAACGUACAAGAUACAUAAUAUCGUAUGAGACAAUCAUGUACAUUACUAUCGAGUACAAGCAUGAUACCUCCCUUGGGUUCCUGUCAUUAGUAAUCCUUCUUGUGAGUGGUUACUAGCUCUAAAUCUAGCAUCCAAAGCCCAGCAUAUACUCCUCUUGCUAAUUCUCUGCUCAAAAAACACUCUCAGACCUCUCAAGCACUCAACCAUUACACUUCCCUUGGGAGCCUAUCAUUAGUAAUCCUUGUUGUGAUUGGUUUUUUCCAUGAUUGUUUUCUUAUUAAUCAUGUUGUUGGAGAUCUAACCAAUGAAUGCGUUUUGGCACUCGUUCAAAACUUUUUCGCAAAAACCUAGUUAUUCACAAAAUAAAUUCUGCUGAUUAUCUUAUCGAAACAUCAACAAUCCCUUGCAACGACGCCAAAACCUUAACGGUGUAUAAGUUGGCAAAUGUGUCAAAUCGUACAUUAGUAAUUUUUUUUGAUCAAAGUAAGAAAAAUUAAAUUGCAAAAUAGGAGGAGGCCUGAACCUUAUUAGUAUAUCAGAAAGACCCAAUAAAGGAUGCCAAGGCUAUCCCUAGCUAUGCCAACAAGAAACAAAGAAAUGCAGGCCAACUAUGACAUUGUCAGCUAACCAAAUCUAUAUUGCAUACCUUCAUUGUUUUUUCCUUUAUUAUCUUGUUGUCUAAUCUUUUUCUUCUUCCUUUUAGAGACAUGGAGUAUACAGAUCAUCUAGGUCAUGUGACCCCUCUAAAGACUGCUCAUCAGAAUCAGAGGCUAAAUCACUCCAAUUUUCUUUUAGAAUUUCCACACUUUUUAUAGCUGCUGCAAUGCUAGAAAGAAUUGGCUGAGUUUCAGGAACUAUCAACUGGGUAUUUCUGCCAUCACUGCUGUUUAUACUUUUGGUUAAAUGCUUUUUAUACUUAUUUUUAUGAAUAGGUGCCAUUUCAAAUAUGUGUCUAUUCAUUGGUAAAACUUUUUGAAAAAUGGUAUUGCUUCAUAAACAUCUUUUUUGCCUCUAUAAAUUUAAUUGAAAAUCAAAGCAAUUUAAAAAAACAACAACUUUCAAACUCUCAAUGUGAAUUUCAAUAUCACUUGCAUUCAAACUUUCUUUUAAUUGUUUGGAAAAUUUGGCCCACACUUAUUUAUUAAAAAGCUUUCUGAGCACUAAGUCCAUAUUGUUGAAGCGAUAUUGAUCAAGAUAAACAACCAUACAAUUUUAUUCUUCAAUUCAUUUGUAACAUUCUCAUCAAUUGUUGGUGGGAAUUAUUGUUAAAGAUAGUGGGGUGAUAUCUUGUGAUUGUUAUAAAAUGUUCUUUGAUUCAGGAAGAUUCAUAGUCCACCAAAAGUGUUUUGUGUUUGUGUUUGUAAUCAAGAGAGAUGGUUUAUUUCUUGUGUUUAUGUUAGAAAGAUUGUUAGGUGCUCUUUGGGUGAGAUUGCUUGUAACAAAGAUUCUAACAUAGUGAAUUCCUUCGUGGGGUGUGAAGGGAGUGGAGUACCUACAAGGGAACCAUUAUAAUUCUAUUGUGUCUUUUCUUCUUCCCUUACUCUUUUAUUUUUCCACAUUCAUAAUUCAUAUUAAGUUUUCGAAAAAAAUAAUCUAGAAAGCUAAACUUGCAAAAAAUUACCAAUAAUCCUAUAAAGCUAAUUCACCCCCCUUUUAGGUUAUAAUCUGAACUUACAUGUUUAACGUAAUUACAAAACAAUAGAAAAACGUACCCUAUAGAGAACAUGAGGAAGAUAAAGAUCAUUUGCCUUGAAAUUUUGAUGGUUGACCAUUGCCUUGUACCGGUUGCGUUUUGAAUGAAUAAAAGAGUGUGUGAUCUCUAUUUAUAGUACAUCAUUAUUUAUGGGUUAAGAGAAGAGAACUGAGAUUUUUCCAUUAAAACAACUUUAAAAACAAGCAAUUAGUAUUCCCGGCCCAGGGCGCAUGAACUUAUAAUAACAUAAAUUGAAUUUGAAAAAGUUAUUUAAAGGAUUUUGUAUUAAUUAAGAAAAAUGAAUGCUCAAAUUUCUCUCCUUCCAAAGCCCACCAUUCUCUCCACUUCAUCCUUCUCUUCUUCUCCCAAACAAACCCUUGGGGAUGCAACCACUAAUCAAGUAAGAAACUAUAACACAGGGUCGAUAUUAUGAUUCUUAUAUAUUUCAGGGCCGAUACCAGCAAGAAGUUGGUAGCCAAAAGCUACUAAAAAUCACUACUAGAAAAAGAAAAAUCAGCGAGGGAAAUUAGUGACGGAAAAAAUGAAAUUCCUCAAAAAAAAUUUGAUCGAAAAAUUUAGUGACGGAAUUAGAGAGAGAUUUGACGUUUUCCCUCACUAAUUUUUGAUUUUUUAGUAGUGAAUAGAAAUGAAGUAACAUCCUCACUCAUGAAAUAAAAGUUUCAAAGAGAUCUAUAAAACAAGAAUCAACUACAAGUAGGAGAGUCAUGGGUUGGUGUGAAUAAGAUAAAAAGGAGGUGCAACCACAAAGAGGGGACAAUGGAUUAUUGCAGGAGAAUUGGACUUUGGCAUAGAAAACUAUUUGUUGACCCGUAAGAAAGAAUAAAGAGCAGCACAUAAAAGGGAGAAAGUUGCUUUCCUGACAUCAAAUAUUUCCUAAUAACACAUGGAAGUUACGCAUUUAUUUCUAGCGGUAGUUAAUUACCGUUGGUAAAUUCGGCAGCAUUUAACUAUCGUUGGCUCCUAGCUGCAGUUAACUACCGCUGACUCAUCAAUUGUGAUUUUAAGCGUUUCAAUUGAAAUUUUUUUAAGGUUUAAAUGCAAUUUUACCCCCCUAUUUUGAUUGAAUCUGAAUUUUACCCCCCUUAUUUUAAACUUCAAAAUUUUACCCCCUCUAUUUUUAUUGAUUCUGGAUUUUGCCUCCCCUAUUUUAAAACUCGGAAUUUUACCCCCCUAUUUUAUGUUUUUCAGGAUUUUGCUCCCUCCCCCUAUUUUAUCCACAUAAUUAUUUUUUUGUAUUAAAUGUUUUUUAAUGAAAAAAUAAAACCAAAAAAAUACUAAAAAAAAUGAAUAAAAAAUACUAGAAAAAAAAAGCAUAAAACUAGUAUGAUCUCUAAAAAUAAAAUAAAAAACUAGUAUGAAAAUAGCAAAUAUUUAGAGGUGCAAAUUAGUUUUUUCAUGUAUUCUUAAUUGAAUUUUUUCUUGUAAUUUCAUUGUUUUUCUAGUUUUUAGUUUUUUUUUUUGUGUUUUCUUGUUUUCCUUAUAUUUUUUUACCAAAUUAUUAUUUUCUAAUCGUUUCUUUAUUUUUCUAAUAUUUUUUGGUUCUUUAUUUUAAAAUAGGGGGUAAAAUUAUGAAAAACGUAAAAUAGAGGGGGUAAAAUUCCGAGUUUUAAAAUAAGGGGGGCAAAAUCCCGAUUCAAUCAAAAUAGAAGGGGUAAAAUUCAGAGUUUUAAAAUAGGGAGGUAAAAUUCAGAUUCAAUCAAAAUGGGGGGGGGGGGGGGGGGUAAAAUUGCAUUAUUUAAGCCUUUUUUUUUUUUAAAUUGAGUUAUUCGGAAUGCUAUGGAACCUUGCACAACUCAUAUGAAACGCGUACAACAUAUGUCGGAAAUCUCAUACCGAUGUCCUAAAAUAGUUUUUAUUUUUUAUUUUUGCUUCAACACUUCUUGCAUAGGAGCCUGACACUCUCACGACACGUGUCCAACAAAUUAAGACAAGUCUCCCAAAUUAUUAUUAUUAUUAUUAUUAUUUUGCAUCAACACACAUUAUACUCUUCUUGGACGAACCGCAAACACAUUUCUUUGGUGUUAUGUUUAGGAAGUAAUACAUGACAAAAGUCAGAACAGAACCAUUUCUUUGAAGUUCUUUGCUAAUGCUCACAACCAAGAUCAUCAUCCCUUCAUUUCUUUUGUCUGUUGAAAGAAAAUUGAAUAUAUAGGGCAGCUGAGAUAAAUCGAGUGUUGGGUUUACGUGCUCCUGAGGUUAUUAAUGUUCAAAGAAGAAGAACACUACAUGAAUUGCCAAACUUUGACGGCUGGGACGAUCUUGUGGCUGGGUUGCGCAUCUGAAAUGCCACUCAAGAAGUUAUUCACACACUCCUAUAUAUCAAUCUUGUAUGAAAAUGAAGUGAUUAGUGCUGGUGAGUUAAUUGCUUCAAACUUUAAGGAAAUCGUGGAUUCCAAACAUACUACACUAGGACAUAACUGUCUGAUAAAUCUGCUUUGUGAACAAGAGAAGGUUCAUGUAGAAGCAAAUGAUAUUUUUGUGAAUUCAAAGGAGCCUAUUAAAUGACAAAGCAAUGUUAGUUUAUGAAAUGUAUAUGCAAGGAAGGAGGCAUCAAGGACGAAAUCAAUGGGCACAUGAGGAGAAACCUCAGAUGAUGGAGGAGGAUCCUAUUCCACAAGCUCCAAAUAAUCAUCCCGCCCACCUAUUCUUGAAGAUUAUAUGUAUGUGAUGCGAUGUGAUGGAAAACUAGGCUCAGGAUGCUUCUUCUCAACUAUACAUUGACCCUCUUUACUUUUCUCAAUGAUUCACGGAGGCAGCCAACCAACACCGCUAGAGACCUCGUAGAGGAAAUGCUUAACAGAGGUUUGGGAUUGAAGAGAAUAUGAGAGCCGAUAUCCAUUAGUAGAGGGGCAAGGCAGCUGAGAGAAAAAAACAAUUGCAGGCUGACUUUAACAUGGUCAGAGGUGAGGAUCAUGAGAAUUUGGCGCUUGGCCCACCAGAGGAUUUCAUGUAAUCUAGGCACAUUGUCUAUCUUUUAUUUUCUUUCCUAUUUUCAGUAAUUUAUUUUGAUUUUGAGUUAAAACUAGGUGUUGCAAGUGUUUAUUUGGAUUUCAGUUGUAUUCUCCUAUCUUCUGUUCUGCAAUGUUCUUAUUUAUUAUUAAUGAAUUUUCUUGUUUUUCAAAUUUACCAGUUUAGUAAAAAUCAUUUCACCAUUAGUACUUCUAAAGUUCAUAAGGAGGAAGAUCCUUGCAUUGAUAUUCAGCGUUUGGAAUGAUUAGGUGGCUACAACUUCUGGAAAAUCUUAGCUUGUGAAGUUUGAGCCAAAAAAAAAUUCAAUUCGUUUCUACUUAUACAAUUGUUCCAUGCAACUGUCAUUUUUAGAACCUUUGUCCUUGCAGCCUUUGUUAGGUUAGAUCAUUUUGGCCGGUGACAAACUGCAUAACAAGCCUAGAGACCUUAGGAGAUUUUGACCCAAUUUCGUGUUGGAGUUAGGCAAUGUUAUUUUUUUUUUCUAUGCUUAAUUUCAAGUUUAGGGUUGCAGUUAGAACUAGCAAUGUUUAAGUUUGGGGUACGGGUAGCAGAGAACCCAAGAGAUCACAAAAUGUUUUUCAAUUUUUUUUAAAUAAGCUACACAAAAAUGUGAAAUAAGGUACAUCAUGACAUCAUUUGGAGAAGCACCAAACCUGAAAUUUGAAAGUUAACGAGAAUUCGUGGCAUAAUUAAAUAACUUGAAUAUGGGAAGCAAGAAUUGGUAGAGCAGUGGCUUUCUAGAGAUGUUGCAAGGAUCCCUUAAUACUACUACUAGAUGUGCAACAGUAAUUGAGAGAAAGGUUGUAAAUUGAUAACGUAAGGCAUAUAAAUUGUGGUAACAUGAAAUUGAUUUUUGAUGCAAAUUAUUUAAUUUUUGUUUUGAUAGAGAUUUGAAAAGCUUUUCUGGCACCGUGGACCAUCUUGGAGAUAUUGGUGCAGGGUAGAAUCCUCCAUUAUACAUAUAAUGAAGAAAUUAAAUAAAUAUUGCAUAAUCUAUUACAACUGCAAUGUUGGAGCAAAAAUAACUAGCAGAAAAAGAAGACUACACAUAUAAAAAUUCAAUUCAUAUAGGACACAGAAUUCUACUUUUUGGUGUUCAGAUUAAACCUCACUGAAAUAUCAAAAUGUAAUUCAAAGCACACUCUUUCAAACAACCUUUAUUGCUUUUACAUAGAAAGGAAACUCUUACAGAAUGCAAUUACAAGAACAGAAGGAAACUAAGACAAAUAUUGGACUAAUAUGUUUAUUGCUUUGGACUCACAUGACCCUUUUAAGCUAUAACAUAAAAACAACUCACUAAUGUCUCUUAAAAAUCUUAUUAAGAAAUAAUGUAAAUGAAACGCCAAGGUAAUCUCUACACCAUUCAAAUACCUGCGGAAAGUAAGUGUUUCCCAAUGCAACUCCAGCAACAAGUCCACCGCCAUAUCCAAUCAGAACAACUGUCCAGUAUAAUUCAAAGAAUGAUUCUGAGUCGUCAUCAUCAUCAUCAUCAAAAGUCGAAGGCCCUGCAUGAUCUAUACACUUCUUCACCAAUUGAUCCCCACACAGACCUUGGUUACCCUCAAAUGAAUCAUCUUUGAAUGUGGAAAACUGAUUAUUUUGUGGUAUAGGACCUGUGAGAUUGUUAAAGGACACAUUUAAGUACUCCAAAAAGGUGAUUUCUGCCAACUGUUUGGGAAUUUUUCCUGAAAGACUGUUGAGAGAAAGAUCUAGUGCUUCAAGUUUUGAAAGCUUCCCUAAGGAAGAUGGUAUGCUUCCAAUAAGCAUAUUAUUCGACAAGUUGAGCAAAACAAGACCCUUUAACUCGCCUAUCACUUGUGGUAUCUCUCCACUGAUUUUGUUGCUUGAAAUAUCAAUGGCUAUUAAGCUGUAGAAAUUCUGAAGGUUCUCAUAAACCCUUGAAAACCCUUUGUUUGACAAUGUGAAUGUAUAAAACGUACUUUGUGUUGUACGAAUUUGUCCUGCACUGUUCGAUGUCGAGUAAGAUUCAUACUGUAAUUGACUUGUGUUGGUAGUUUUCAUUGUUUUCCAUCCUUGGAUCAUUUCUGAUGGAAAACUUCCAGAGAAUUCAUUGUGAGAAAGGUCAAUGAUGUGAAGUUUGGGAAAUGUGCAUGUCAUGUUGUCAGAGCACCUAAUGUCUCCAUGAAAUUCAUUGUUACUUAAAGACAAUACCUUCAACUCGGGUAAAUCUUUCAUCCAUAAUGGAAAUGAAUCAUUGAUAUUGUUAUAACUAACAUCAAAGAACUCUAGGCUUCUGCUAUUUACCAAUGCCCUUGGCAACUGACCCUGCAGAAUGUUGUUGCUAAAAUCAAUCCGCUGAAGGGAAUUUCCUAUCAUGUAUGUUUGAGGAAUGGGGCCAGACAAUUUGUUCCCUUUUAGAGCUAGUGUUUGUAAAGAUUGGCUAAAGUUUCCAAGACAUGAAGGAACAUUGCCGCUUAAGUUGUUGAACGCUAAAUCAAGAUAUGUGAGUGAUUUGAGAUUGCAUAUUAAUGGGGUUAUUUCUCCUGUCAAUGAAUUUUGGUUAACAACUAAGCCUUGUAGACUUUCUUUUUCCCAUAACCAAUUGGGUAGCGAUGUUAUAUUGUUUAAUGCCAACGCAAGAUAUUCCAGCUCACCGAGAUCUCUUAUAAAUGUUGGAAUCUCAACUAAAUUGCAUGAAUCCAAUUCUAAGCUUUGAAUUCGAGAAUCGGUCAUAUGGGAAGACCUUUUUCCACUGUACAAUGACAGUUUGUUGAAUGAUAAAUUAAGAACAGCUAGCUUUUUGAGUUUCAGAAACGUGUCAAGCUCUAGCUUUCCAUGCAAAGAAUUAAAGGGUAGGUCCAAGACAACUAAAUUUGUUAGGUUCAUAAUCCAAGAUGGUAUUUCACCCUUUAUAUUGCUAUUUUCUGCACUUAAAAGUACUAGCUGAGUGAGAUUUGCAAAAGAUAAUGGGAUCUCACUGCCAAUAUUGACUGAGGAUAUCUCCAAGGAAAUUAAUGAUGAAAGCUUACCUACCCAUGAGAAUGUCUCAAUAGUAAAUUCAUUGUGACUAAUAUCCAAUAAUCUUAGUUGGGUAAGAUUUGCCAAGGAUGCAGAAGGGUUGCCCCUAAAUUUGUUUUUUGAAAGGUCUAUAUCCAUGAGUUGUGUGAGGUUGCCAAGCGAAGAAGGAAUAUAUCCAAAAAAAUGGCAAUCUGAAAUUGAUAGAAGAAUUAAAGAACUAAGCUUCCCAAUGGAUACUGGCAGUGUACCAUAGAAACCUGUUUGAUCAAGUCCUAACCUGGUGAGUGAACUAGACUGAAACUCAGGCAAACUUCCAUUGAGAUUUGGAUUAUAUCUCAAAUCCAGAAGUUCCAAGUUUGGAAGAUGAAAUACUCCAACCGGAAACGCUCCAUACAAUUCAGAAUUGUAUAGAGAUAGUGCUUUCAACGAAGUUAGAUUUGUGAGUGUCUCUGGUAAAGUAGAUGAAAUUGUCACAAAACUAAGAAAAAGGAUCUCAAUUUUUGUUGAGUUUUGAAUUAUGCUUCUGAGACUAGACAAUUUGAGUUGCAACAAAUUGGAUGUACUACCUUUAGGAUGUACUAUAGCUCUGUAGCCUAGAUCAAGAGACAACAACUUUGACAACUGUGAAACAUGUGGUGGAAUUUCUCCAGAAAAUAAGCUAAGGGAAAGGUUCAGAUGUUUUAAUUGUGAAAGCUGACCUAUCUUGGACGGGAUUGGAGAGUAAUUGAAGUCAUUGUCAGAAAGAUCAAGAACUCGAAGGUGUACAAGGCGAAAGAGACUGCUAUUUGCAUCCAUUUUACCAUAGAGUUGGCUGCUACUAAGAUCAAUGUGAAUCACUUGAUUUGUGUGCUCAUGACAUUUAAUGCCAUCCCAUGAACAACAAUCUGUGCUGGAGUUCCAAGAUGCUGUUUUUGGAUAACCGAGAAGAUUAUCAGAGGCUAAGUUAUUGAUGACAAAGCCUUCCUUAAAUUGCAACAAGGCAUGGCUUUCAUAUUGAUGACACUUUGGCUGAAUUUGAGGAAAACAUGUAGUAAAUGUGAAAGUGAAAAGUGAAUACAGGAAAAGAAAUUUUAGUAACAAAACAAGAGACCUGACAAACACCAUUGUAUUUUAAUAUUUUGAAGUGAAUGUUUUGGAUGAAAAGCUAGACACAUGCUAAGUGAUUCUUAUAGUAAAUGAAAAUGUUUUGUAGUGAAUUUGAUUAUCAUUGACCGUGCAUUUUGGUUUAGCCCGUUGGAGAGGUUAACUUGAUCAACUCCAAAAAUACUUUGUCUCCUUUAUUUCCUUAAAUUCCAGGAAGGUAUUUGCAUCUUGGCUCUUAUCGUAGAUUCUACAACCAAUGCAUAUUAUACAAGACUUUGAUGUAACAUGAUAUGAUCUUUAAUCAAAAUAUGUGGCCAAUCCAAUACAGAAGGUCUAUUUGAUGUUUUAUCAUGUAGUGAGGCUUUCUUAUCUUCCACAUAUUUCAUUUUCUGUCCAUUUUUGGUUUUUCUUUUCUAAUUUCAGUACAUUUGUCUCUAUUGUUUGACUCAGCAAUUUCCUAUGACUUUCUUGCUUCUUGCAUUCUUGGAAAACAAUUUAAUUGACUUAGUCAAUUGUUCUUGUGCAAUUUUAUUUCAUACCGACAUAACAAUUUGUUUUCUCCCUUCAUAUACUCACCAUUUUAUUAUUUGGUUUUAUGCAUAAAAUUCAAUCUAGAACCAUGCAAGAGCUUGCACAAAUUUAUUGAAAAAUUAACUAUUUUAUAUGUACAAAUUUUUUAUUAAAAAACGCAUUUUAGGGAAAAGAUACUUGGAAAAAUGAAUGAAAUUUGUACCGUCCUAAUGUUGAGAUUUCUUACUAUGAUUCGGGGUCUGUUUGAUUGUUUGGAGAGAAGGUUUUGUUGGGAAGAAAAUAAACUAUUGAGAAAUAUUACGUUUUCUUUGUUUGAGAGAUUAUUUGUAGAGAAUAAUAAAUUAAAUAUACUAACAUUAAUAUGUUUUAAAUUUUGAGACUUCUAUAAUAACAUAAAUUGAAUUUAGAAAAUUUAUCUAAAUUCUCUCAUCCAAUGCAAUUUUUGAACUUUCUCAAAUUCGAAGGAUUUUGUAUUGCUCAUGAAAAAUAACAGUUCAAAGUUUUCUCUUUCCAAACCCCAACAUUCUCCCAAAUAGACUCUUGGUGAUGCAAAAAGAGUUAAUCAAGCAAGAGACUAUAGUAUGACAGUUUCUUUUCCCACCUACAAUAAAUACCUCUCACCCUAUUUUGGGAUUCUAAAAUCCAAAAAAAUGGGAGGAUUUUAAAUGUAUUUUAUGCUUUUGAAAGAUACAAUCCAAAAUGCAGUUGGGCACGCAAGAGGCAAAUAAGGUGAGAUAAGAAAUUCACUUAUGGCAUACUUCUAUAUUUUCCUUUUGACAAAAUGUGGCAAUCUUCCUAAGCUUUGCCCCCAAUCUUCUAAAUAAUAUAAGAAAGACAUUAAGAAAGUAAUGCCUGAACAAAUCUAUCAAAGUUUAUUUCAUAAGAAAAUUUAUUAUCACAAUUCACAACAUACAAAUUCAAUAUAAGUGUUUUUAAAUCUGAACAUAAUUUAAUCAAAUUUGACAAAAGAUCUCCCAUCUAUAUUACAGAAGAUUUUACUUAUUUGUAUCACAAUCUUCUCUAGUCUCUAAUGUUCGGCAACUCGGGUGUAGAAUGCAGACACAACAAUUAGUCCAAAUGAACAUACAAGCUAUAACAAUGAGUAAUCAGACUAAAAUAUAAAGACAACACUGUCAUGAACUCUCGACUUUUGAUUCUGAGCCACACAUUCUGAAAUCCACAUAAGAUUUCUUAUCUCCUGCUCCCUUAACCUCAUAUAUGCAAAGAAAACAGCAUAGUGAAACUGCAAAUAUAGACAAAUUAAGAUGGUUUAGUGAAUGAAUAAAACAUACGUACACCAUACAAAAACAUUUAUAAUUAAGCCAGUCAAUAUCCUUGCAGCUUAAUAUUAUGAUAUUCUGAACUGUUAAAAAAAUUAACCUGUUGCUCAAAUGCUAAGCAAUGCCUCUUGACUUCCUCCUCAUAGAAUGCCUUGUCAAGCAUCUGGCUCUCCCCAUACGAUAACUUCGCAAAGAUAGAUUGAUGAGGGUAUUUUUCCAUAACAGCACGAACCUACGCGAGCAACCAUGUAAAAGAAUUAAGGCUAAAAAAGCAAUACUAAAAGAAAUCAACUAGAAAUCAGUGGAUGUUAUAGACAACAAUGAUGAAUCUCAAAUAUUUCAGGGCCGAUACCAACAAGAAAUUGGUAGCCAAAAGCAACUCAAAUUGCAAAUGAAGUAAAAAUGAAAGUGCUCAAAAAUAUAAAAUGAAAGUUUCAAAGAGAUCCCUCAAACAAGAAUCAUCUACAAGUAGGGCAGUCUCCAGGUGGUACAGGUUUAAGGUCAUGCAACGGCAGUUAAACCAGGGAUAAGAGGAAUAAUAUAGUUGCAGCACAUUACAAUGACUUAGGUACUAAUAAAAAAAAAUCGAUAAAUAAUCUACUGCCCUAAGAAACACAAUCUAGAAGGGUCCAAGAAGCAUACAAAUUGAAAGAGGGAAAACACUGUACAUCAGCAAUGCAACAACCAAACGUUUAACACAAUUGAGAUGCAAAUCAUACCUGAUCAAUGUCCUCACAGACAGCAAGCUCCUCAUGACCAUAUGAAUAGCUGUUAAAAAUAAGUUGGUGAUUAGUAAAAUAAGCAUUACAAAUUAGUAUAUUGAUUUUCUUUUUCUUUUUUUUAAAAAUAUUUAACUGAAGGAUUAGAGCUUACAACAAACCGAAGUUAGAGUACAACUUCCUACGGUCAUCUCUGGUAAGCUCAGUUCCAAUGCUGCACAAUGUGGAAACCAUGGAUGCCAGUUAUGCAGAUAUCCAGAUAAACAAAAAGAUUAUACAAAGACUGCUUAGUACUUUACCUAUUGAUGGUAAUAUUAACAGCCCUUCUAUCACUGUCUGUGACACUUUGCAUGGGGAAACUUUCCAAUAUGUCAUCACAAUCCUCCUCUACAUCAAUGUAAGUUGCGGUAACAUGAAAUUGAUUUUUUAUGCAAAUUAUUUCAUUUUUGUUUUACUCUUGAUUUGAAAAACGUUUUUGGUGGUGCAGGGUAGAAUCCUCAUAUAAUGAAGAAAUUAAUUAAAUAUUGCAUGAUCUUUAUUGCUUUUGGAGUAAAAGUAACUAGCAGAAAACGAAGACUAUAUAUAACAAUUCAAUUCAAUUCACCCAUUUGGGGUUGGCCUAGUGGUUGGCUUGGGAUCUUGGAGUUUGCUCCUCCAGAGGUCUCAGGUUCGAUUCCCUCUGGAGCCAAUUUCGGUGGGCUAAGUCCAUACAGAGCUUGCUCUGGCUUUAAAUGGGGCCCCCGCAAGUGGGCGGUGGGAUUGGUCCCUCGGAUUAGUCGAUUCAUGAUCGGAUACCGAGUUUUCAAAAAAAUUCAAUUCAAUUCAAAGCACGCUCUUUCGAACAACCUUUAUUGCUUUUACAUACAAAGGAAACUCUUACAAUAUGCAAUUACAAGAACAGAAGGAAACUAAAACAAAUAAGAACAUAAAUAGAGAGGACUAAUAUCUUUAUUGCAUUCGACUCACAAGACCCUUUUAAACCAUAACAUAAAAACAACUCAUUAAUGUCUCUUAAAAAUCUUAUUAACCAAAAUUAUAACUGAAACGCUAAGGCAAUCUCUAUACCAUGCAAAUACCUGCAGAAAGUAAGUGUUUCCCAAUGCCACUCCAGCAACAAGUCCACCGCCAUAUCCAAUCAGAACUACUGUCCAGUAUAAUUCAAUGAAAGAUUUUGAGUCGUCAUCAUCAUCAUCAUCAGAAGUAGAAGGCCCUGCAGGAUCUAUACACUUCUUUAACAGCUGAUCCCCACACAGACCUUGGUUACCCUCAAAUGAAUCACCUUUGAAUGUAGAAAACUGAUUAUUUUGUGGUAUAGGACCUGUGAGAUUGUUAAAGGACACAUUUAAGUACUCCAAAAAGGUGAUUUCUGCCAACUGUUCGGGAAUUUUCCCUGAAAGACUGUUGAGAGAAAGAUCUAGUGCUUCAAGGUUUGAAAGCUUCCCUAAGGAAGAUGGAAUGCUGCCAAUAAGAUUGUUAUUCGACAAGUUGAGCAAAACAAGACCCUUCAACUCGUCUAUGAUUUGUGGUAUUUCUCCACUGAUUUUGUUGCUUGAAAUAUCAAUGGCUAUCAAGCUGUAAAACUCUUGAAGCUUCUCAUAAACCCUGUCCAUCCCUUUGCUUGACAUUGUGAAAGUAAGAAACUUAUUUGUUGUCACAUGAUAAUGUCUAUUGUUCAACCUCGAGUAAAAUAACUUUUCCUCGUAUUGUAACUGACUUGGGUUGGAAGUUUUCAUUGCUUUCCAUCUAAGGAUCAUUUCUGAUGGAAAAUUUCCAGAGAAAUCAUUGUGAGAAAGGUCAAUGAUAUGAAGCUUUGUAAAUGUGCAUGUCAUGUUUCCAGGGCACCUAAUGACUCCAUGAAAUUCAUUGUUACGUAAAGAUAAUACCUUCAACUCAUUUUUCCAGGGCUUGUGAUUUGCCAGAUAUAGUUACUUGCCUUUUGUUUCAAUCUCAUUUUUGCAUGAACCGCCCUUUCGGGUUUUCGGCUCAUCGAGACGCUUAUUCUUGCCUGAGUUGCGUACAAUCUCAGCGAGCUUUUUCAUAUUUGUUUUUUUUUUGUCCCUUAUUUUUGCCUGGAUCGCCCUUUCGGGUUUUCGAUCCACCGGAAAGCGCAUUUUUGCCUAGGCCGCCCUUUCGGGUUUUCGACCUACCACGCUGUUCUUUUCAUAUUUCUAGGCAAAGUAUUUCUUGACUAUAUCGGCAUUCACUGGAUUUGGAAGUUCUACACCAUCCAUGUGUGUAAGGAUUAAAGCACCACCGGAGAAGGCCUUCUUGACAACAUAAGGACCUUCAUAGUUAGGCGUCCACUUGCCCCUUGGGUCGGGUUGCUGGCUUACCCUCCUUUUCAAUACAAGUUCCCCUACCUUGAAUUCUCGAGGAUGGACUUUCUUGUCAAAAGCAGUCUUCAUUCUUGCUUGAUAUGACUGUCCACGAGCCAUGGCAUCCAUACGUUUUUCCUCAAUCAAAUUCAACUGAUCAUACCGGCUUUGGCACCAUUCAGCCUCAGAUAACUUUGCUUCCAUGAUCACACGGAGAGAUGGGAUCUCCACUUCCAAAGGAAGAACUGCUUCCAUACCAUAUACAAGAGAGAAAGGGGUUGCCCCAGUUGAACUGCGCACAGUAGUACGGUAGCCAUGCAGAGCAUAGGGUAACAUCUCAUGCCAGUCCUUGUAAGUGGUUACCAUCUUCUGGACAAUCCUCUUGAUAUUCUUGUUGGCGGCCUCAACUGCACCAUUCAUCUGAGGUCUAUAGGGAGAAGAGUUAUGAUGCUCGAUUUUGAAUUCUUCACAAAGAGCUUGCACCACAUUGUUGUUCAGGUUGGUACCAUUGUCGGUAAUAAUCUUGCUGGGAACACCAUAUCGACAGAUGAUGUUGUUCUUGAUGAACUUAGCUACCACUUGCUUGGUCACAUUGGUAUAAGAUGCUGCUUCAACCCAUUUGGUGAAGUAGUCAAUUGCCACUAAGAUGAAACGAUGACCAUUUGAAGCCUUCGGUUCAAUUCUUCCAAUCAUGUCGAUGCCCCACAUUGAAAACGGCCAUGGGGAUGAAAUAACAUUGAGAGCGUGCGGAGGCACAUGAAUCUUAUCAGCAUAGAUUUGACAUUUGUGGCACUUUCUGGCAUACUGGUAGCAAUCAUGCUCCAUGGUCAUCCAGUAGUAACCUGCUCGUAACAACUUCCUUGACAUAGUAUGCCCUGUAGCAUGGGUCCCGAAGGUACCGUCAUGUACAUCAUGCAUUAACUGCUCUGCUUCAUGUUCAUCAACACAUCUUAACAAUACCAUGUCAUAGUUUCUCUUGUACAGAAUAUCUCCAUCUAACAGGAAUCUACUGGCCAAUCUUCUCAGGGUCUUCUUAUCUUGUUUGGAAGCACCCGGCGGAUACUCACGGCUCAGCAAGAACUGUUUGAUGUCGUAGUACCAGGGUUUAUAGUCAACCACAUUUUCACCAGCCUGAUCGAUCACAUCCCCAAUAGCAAACACAUGUGAAGGUCUUUCAAGGCGUUGCACUUUGAUUAUUGGCACAUCAUUCCAAUGGUUUACUCGGAACAUGGAGGAUAGAGUAGCAAGAGCAUCAGCCAUUUGGUUCUCAUCACGAGGAAUAUGGUGCAGCUCAACCUUUGUAAAAUAUGUCAGCAAACGUCUAGCAUAAUCACGAUAAGGAAUCAACUUAGCAUGGUGGGUCUCCCAUUCACCCUUUAUCUGAUUGAUGACGAGCGCAGAAUCUCCAUAGAUGUCGAGGUGUUUGAUUCUCAUGUCAAUUGCUUCCUCGAUCCCAAAGAUACAUGCUUCGUAUUCAGCCAUGUUGUUUGUACAUUCGAACAGAAUCCGGGCUGUAAAAGGAAUGUGAUGCCCUUGCGGGGAUACAAUGAUUGCCCCAAUUCCUUUACCAUAAGCAUUGACAGCACCAUCAAAGACUAAACCCCACUUGCUAUUGGGAUCUGGACCUUCACCAAUCAACGGUUCUUCGCAGUCUUUUGAUUUCAAAUACAUGAUCUCUUCAUCGGGGAAAUCAAACUCAAUUGGUUGGUAAUCAUCAAGAGGUUGGUAGGCAAGAUGAUCGGCAAGAAUGCUACCUUUGAUUGCCUUUUGAGUUUUGAACACAAUAUCAUAUUCAGACAAAAGCAUCUGCCAGCGUGCAAUCUUCCCAGUAACAACAGCUUUCUCAAAGAUAUACUUUAUCGGAUCCAUUCUGGAUAUCAACCAAGUUGUAUGAUUCACCAAAUAAUGACGCAGGCGUUUAGCGGCCCAGGCCAAAGCACAACAAGUCUUCUCAAGCAUUGUAUACCGAGUUUCACAAUCGGUGAACUUCUUGCUUAGAUAGUAGAUAGCAUGUUCUUUCUUUCCAGUCUCAUCUUGUUGACCAAUUACGCAUCCCAUGGAUUCAUCAAAUACUGCCAAAUACAUAAUCAAAGGUCUUCCUUCCACGGGUGGGACAAGGAUAGGUGGUUCCAGCAGGUAAUUCUUGAUGCUAUCAAAAGCUUCUUGACAUUCAUCAUUCCAUACAAUAGGUUGAUUCUUUCUGAGUAGCUUGAAGAUCGGCCCGCAGGUUGCGGUCAUGUGAGAUAUGAAUCGGGAGAUGUAAUUCAAACGUCCGAGGAAACCUCUGACUUGCUUCUCGGUAUGUGGAGCUGGCAUUUCUCGGAUGGCCCGGACUUUAUCAGGAUCGACUUCAAUGCCUUUUUGGCUGACAAUGAAGCCUAAUAACUUCCCGGAUCUGACGCCGAAUGUACAUUUGUUGGGAUUCAAUCGAAGCUUGUAUUUUCUCAACCUUUCGAACAUCUUUGUCAAAUAUUCAACAUGUUGCUCCUCAUCUGUUGACUUUACAAUCAUGUCGUCCACAUAUACUUCGACUUCUUUGUGAAUCAUGUCAUGAAACAGAGUAGUCAUCCCUCUUUGGUAGGUGGCACCAGCAUUUAUUAAGCCGAAUGGCAUCACUUUAUAGCAGAAAGUACCCCAUGGAGUGAUAAAAGACGUCUUUUCCCUAUCUUCAGGAGACAUUUUGAUCUGAUUGUAACCGGAGAAACCAUCCAUGAAGGAGAACACCUUAGACUGAGCAGUAUUAUCAACGAGCACAUCAAUAUGAGGUAAUGGAAAGUUGUCUUUUGGACUAGCUUUGUUCAGGUCUCUGAAGUCAACACACAUCCGGACUUUACCAUCCUUCUUUGGCACAGGUACAAUAUUGGCAACCCAUUCAGGGUACUCAACUGUCAUGAGGAAACCCGCAUCAAUUUGUUUUUGAACCUCGCUCUUAAUCUUGAGAGCCAUAUCUAGAUGAGUCCUUCUCAAUUUCUGCCUGACGGGAGGACAUUCAGGCUUGGUGGGGAUCCGAUGCUCCACAAUCAUAGGAUCUAGACCUGGCAUAUCUUCAUACGACCAUGCAAAAAUAUCCGGAUAUUCCCGGAGGAGUUGGAUGAUCUUCUUUUUAACCCCUUCCUCUAGAGCAGCACCGAUCUUGAUCUCUUGCUUGUUUUCCUCGGUACCUAUGUUGAUAAGCUCAAUCUCUUCCUGGUGAGGCUGAAUGGCUUUCUUUUCUUGCUCAAGUAACCGAGUGAUCUCAUAUGGUAUGUCAUCACCUUCCUCAUCUUCGGCCUCAUACACUGGGAAUUCAAAAUUCGGAGGGAAUGCAGGGUUACUGUGCCCAACGGGUUUAUUAUAGUUUAAUCUGCGUAAAAUGGUUGGAUGAUUUUAGAAAGGGGUUUUUUAUGCAGAUUUUUGAAAUUAAUAAGAAAAAUACAGAUGUUUUGGUUUUUUCUGGCAUUACCAUUAUUUCCAAGGAAAAAAGGCACUAAAAAAAAGCAGCCGUGAAAGAAACGACAAUUUUUUUUUUUUAUCAACGGCAAUGCCGAAACAAACAUGCCCUUACAGAAAAUAUCACUCUCGCUUUGGGCAGAGCGAGAGGAUUGUUAUUUUGAAAAACAAAAGCACUAAAGCAACAAGACACAUUACUCGGAAACAUGCAUGAUUGAAGGAAUGAUGAUGGCAUCCCAAUUUCUCGCAAUGCCUCCUGGUAUAACAAACAUAGGCCUAUGAUCAAAUCCAGUCGCCUUUUCAGUAAUUGCAUUGACAAACCCAGCACUGUAGAAGGUUCCUGUGGAGACUCCUGAAGUUGGGGAAUAUCCGAGACCCUCUUUGUGCUUAUUCUCAAGGAGUUGUAUUAACUUGCCCCAGCCAGCAGCUUGUCCUUCUUGGAUGUCAUUGACAGUUAGAUAAUUGUCGUUCAUCAGGCUCUGGAUGUCAUUCUGAACAACGUAGCAACCCCAAGGAUUAUGGAAGCAUUCUGGGCAACUGGCAUGAUCAUGGUCAAACAGAGAGGCUUGGCAUAAUUUGAUGUGUAGUGGCACCAGAGGAGUUGUAACAUUACGGACGUCCAGUCCGGGAGCUUCCUCAUAUACCUCAAUCAUGUUCACAGCAGCGUGAUUUGGAAGAGGGUUGUCGAGGACAUGAGGGACGUUGUUCUCAAAAGUCAACUUUCCUUGGUUAAUGAGCUUCUUCACAAUGUAUUUCAAAGCAUAGCAUCCUUCGACAUCAUGACCCAGAGCACCUUGAUGGAAAUCACAUUUGAGGUCAGACCGGAACCUGGGAGGUAACGGAUCAGGUGGAGGCUUCCCCUGUCUGAUUGUGCAGUGCCCUCUGAGAAGUAGAGUCGGGAGCAACUCAGCAUAUAUCAUUGGUAUCAGAGGAAAGGUAGGUCUAGCUUGUUGCUGCUGUCGUUGUUGGUGAACCGGUGGAUGAUUGUUCCUGGGCGGCUAGCAGAGCAGUCAUGGUGUCAUUGGCCUUAGCCAAUUCUUCCCUCAGAGAAGUUAACUCGGUACGGAGCUGAACAUUUUCUUCUUCCAUAGCUACCAAAUUCUUCUUUCUGUACAAUCUAGUCCGAUGGAUUCUGUCAGGUUCGUAGAUUUUUCGAGCACGAGCCACCUUUUGAACUGCGGCAGAAGAACCAGGAGGCAGUGAGCACUUGGAAGCUUUUGUGAUUGAUGAAUGAUGCAUAUGAUGCAUGAUAUGUACAAAUGCAAAUGCAAAAAUGACUCUUUUUGUCAUCGAAGGGUUUUUUAGACAAAUCAGAAACUUUGUAAACAUUAUUUAACAAGAUCUCAAUAGCGUUCAUAUCCACAAAGCUGUCAAGAUUCGGAAAGAGAAUGAGCCCAUAGAUAAGCAAUGCAAGAAUAGCCUCGAGUGCGUCCUGACAAGUAGCUUCGAGAUUAGCUUGCUCAAGUAGAUACUUGGAAGUGAACCCUCGGAUGUGAGACUUGGUAGUAAGAUGCUUGGAGACAUCAGAAGUCUUGAGAUAGGGAUCCUUGGCAAUGACCAGAGGAGUAAGAGAAGUCCCGGGACCGGUGAAAGGCGUCUUCUCGGCUAUAGGUAAACCCACUAGAUUGGAGUAAGCCUCGAGAGUAGGAACCAACUGGAAGUCCGGGAAAGUGAAGCAACGGAAGCUCGGAUCAUAAAAUUGCACUAGAGUGUGCACUAGCUUCUCUUCCACAUCGGUUCGGAGCAAAGUAAGCAAUCCCCCAUACCGGAGUCGGAACCCUGUUUGACUCUUGACCUUGAGUGCCAACUCUCUUAAACUGACCAAAUCCACUUCCUUGAACUUGUAGCACUUAGUCUUCUUCAUACCUGUGAUUAUUUACAAAAAUUUCCAUUUGUUUAAGCCCUUCGAUGAAUGCAUGAAAAAUGUUUAUGUAUGAAUGCAUGUAUGCAUGAUUGUGUUGUUUAGUUACAAAGAACAAGGUGGGUUGAGAUUCAAAGUAACAGGGCCACGGAUGGACACGGCGUCCGGUGAACUAAGGCUUUGGAUAGUAGUAACCAAGGUUCUAACACAGUUCCCAAACUGCAACCUCUCUCACAUAUAUCAUGGUAGUACAGGACGACACCCGUUCCAUGAUUAUUUGUGAGAAGGUCUAGUUUGAGUGUAGUAUCGCGUGACGACUAAAGUUUGAGACAACACUCAAUUUAGCCACCGCACUACGUCCUAAAAGGCUAGGAUGGGUUUGGUAACUACGGUUCAUAGCUUCGUCGAACAAUUGAAAGUGAAGUGCCUAAGCAUGACAACACACGCCGACAAUAUCACCUUCAAAAUGCCUCAGCUAUGUGAGAUUGAUCGCAUAAUCCAAUACACGAGGCAACCCCCGGAUCGAAUUGUCGAUUAUAUCUCUACCUAAACAUAAGUUCACUCAGCCCGGGUAUAGGACUUUUGAUAUUCUCACCCCACACGUCAAAUGAAAGUAAACAAAAUUUUCACAUGUAUGAAUAAUAAAGUAAAACAUAAGCAAAAAGAAAACUAGGUGUGACCCGCUCUAAGAAAAAAAAGUCCCCAGUGAAGUCGCCAUUUCUGUUAUCGCGAUUUCGGGUGUCAAGCCAUUGAUUGGACUUGAACCUUUCAAUCCUCGAUGUUCUCUAUUUUUUUUGGGGAAAGGUAAAUGGAGAGAAACCCUUAAAAAGUUCUAGGUUCGGGGGUCGAUUUCGUUACGGGAAGGUGUUAGGCACCCGUCGCGACUAUAGUAUCCUAUAGGAACCGUUUUCUAAUUUUGCCUAUGCUUUACUUUUUAUAUUUAUGAAAGGAAUGUUGUUUAUCAAGAAUGGAGGGAGAGAUAGUUGAGUUUGAUUUUAUUUAAAAAAUGAUUUUUGAAGAGGAGGAGAGAAGCCGUAAGGCAUAGAAGAAAAAUGUCGAAUUUGAUCUUUAUUUUUAUUUCACAAAAAGGCAUUGGAGUUUUGACUCCAAAGUUUGUUUGAAAAAAUUUAGCCUAUUUCGAAGAAGAAAUUUCACUAGGCGUCGAAUUCCUAAACAUACACCUAAAUCGAUAAUCAUGCAACGUGUGUGCGAGUGUCGGUGCUUGUGUCGGUGUACAUUAUUAGAGAUAAUCCAUAGUCCGUUACAUUUUGUCCUAGUAUACAUUCUAUGGUCUUGCGAAAAUUAAAAGAAAGCUAAACUAAAAUUAUUACAAGCCAUUUGACAUAGAAAUAAAAGUGGGAAGAAACCAAACUAAUGGAGAUAGUGGUGAAAUGGAGAAAUACUCAUGAAAUGAAUGGAACAAAAGAAGUGAGAUGAUUAGUAAAAUAAAGCAUAGAAUAAAAGAAGUGCACAAAAAAUAUUAAGAGGAAAGACAUAAAAGAAACUAAUAAAGUGACAAAAUGUGCAUGAAAAUGGUUAUAAGGCUCUAGCAUAUGUAUGACCCAUAAUCCCUUCAUUAUGGCAUUUUUAGAAGUCUUGCUUUGUGCCAUAAUGUGGAAAAAAAAAUGGGACAUAUUUGAUGCUAAAGUUUAUGGCACACUUUCAAAAUAUUUUGGCACUUUAUUUACUAGUAAAAAUGCAUACUAAUUGCAAGACAAGAAGGGAAAUGAAAUUGAGAUACACAAGCAGCAAGUUAAACAUGUAAUCAGCAACAAACUUAUCACAAAAUUGCAUCCCAAAAAUUCAUAUCACAUGUCAACAUUUCAUGAGGAAUACACUACUAAAAAAUGCACAAAUUUAUGUCUAAAUACACUAAUUAACCAAGAAAUAUCACAUGCUUUUUUUUAUCAUUUUAAAACCAUUGAGAAGUAUAAAAAAAACAUGAAAAUACAUCAAGAAACAUGUGAUAAUUUUUGGAGAUUUUUUAGAGAAAAUUUAAGCAUGCAGAGGUUCAAACAGCAAAGAAAUAUGGUGCAGAUAGCAAGAAAAAAUAGCAAAAAAAGACAAAGAAAGGCCCAAACCCAAGUCUAAAGAUCUGGAAGCACAGGAAGCGUUGGAUUAAUCUGAAGGUUGAGAAAGAAAGGGAAGAACUGAAAAUAAACCGGACCGGUUCAGAGUUCUAUAUAAGUGAUUUGAUUCCGGUUUUUUUCAUUUCCUCCUUUCCUUUCUCUUUCUUCUUUCUUCUAGAGAGAGAAGCUCUCCCCUCUCUCUAGAAACACGGUGCCGGCGAUGAAGAGGGAGGUGGCGGCCGACCCUAGCGCCGCCGCGCCGGAAUUUUUCUCUUUUUUUUUUUUUUUAAAUUUUAUACCAAAAGUUUCGUUUCCUCCUCCUCUACUCAAAUCCGGUGCUAGUUUUAAAAAGGGGUGAGAGAUUCGUCGUAGAUCUACGUUUGAACUUUCGGAAUUUUUUCACUCUUUUUGUAAAAAAAAACUUACGGAUCUAGAUAUCCUUUUCGCUCUAGAGUCCGAAUCCGGCCUCAAAAUUUCAAAAAUCCGAACGUACAAGCCUAGAUCUACAAAUCUUGAUUCGUAACAAACUUUUCACAUGUGUAUAUGCGCGAAAACGAGGGAAAAAAGUGUUACCGUCGUCGUGAAACGGAGAAAAAAAAUCCGAGCCUCCUCUUCUCUCCGCCGCGCGCGCGCGGAUUUGCUCCGGUGGUGCCGCUUUUGCUCGAAAAUCCGGUACGGAUUUGGUGUUGGUGUGAUGAUUCGCGGUGGUUUUGAAUGAUUCCGGUUCGGAUUUGUUGAUUUUGUGAUGAUUUGAGUUGGUUUUGAGUGAAUCCGGUUCGGAUUUGUUGAUUUUGUGAAGAUUUCUUCUUGGUGUUCUUGGAGAAUUUUUGGUGAUUUUCUGUUUUGGAUCUAACUGAUUUUGGAGAGAGAAAGAAAUUUCUGUUUUUGUGAUGUGACUGAUUCUGAUUUUUUUUAUUUGGAUCUGACCCAUCUAUUUAUAGCCUGCCAUGUGUAUUUGUGGGCCAAUGAGAAAAUGCCAUCUGGACUGGGACUGAAGUGUGCGAAAAUUCUGGACAAAAAUGCCCCUGGGACCUUUUCUGCAAAAAAAAAUAAUAAAAAAGGACUGGACAGCAAUUAAAAAUGGACAAAAAAAAUGAAAAUUAAAAGGUUUUGGACUAAAUUGUGAUUUAAAAAUAAAAUUGAACUAAAAAAAGUAAUUUUGACAAACGUAAAGUGAAACUAAAAUUAAAAUCAACAAAAGGACUAAAACGAACCAAUUACUGACAUGAGGUAUUUUAAAAUACCUCCCUGUCGAAAUAUUAAUAGGAAAAGACCAAAAUGCCCCUAGAGACUAAACUGACUCAAACUGACUCAGAUGCAAUUUUUGAAAUGAUUUUUAAACAAAGACUCAACAAUGAUUUGUACAGACAAGUUGAAAAGACUCAGAGGCAAACACAGGGACUAAAAUGGGUUCCACUGCAGGAAAUGACCAAAAUACCCUUUUGUAUGAUUUUUGAAAUAAAAUGCAAGAAAAGUGAUGCGACGUUUCAGAGAGUUCUUAAAUGACUUGUAACAUCAGAAAAGACAGAGGCAGUAAAAUAUGUUUAAAAAAAGAGUAAAGAUUCAGAGUAAAAUAACAGAGAACUGACAAGUAUCAGUGUUACAAAAGAAAUUUGAACGAGUAUUUUUAGGUCCAAAAUCAGGGUAUAACAAGACUCAUGAGUGACUUGAGAUUGCAUAUGGAUGGGGAUAUUUCUCCUGUCAAUGAAUUUUGAGAAACAUCUAAGUUUUUUAGACUUGCUUUCUUCCACAACCAAUUGGGUAGCGAUGUUAUAUUGUUGUUUGACAACAUAAGAGAUUCCAGAUCAUCCAGAUAUCUUAUAUAUGUUGGAAUCUCAACUAAAUUGCAUGAAUCCAAUUGUAAGAUUUGAAUACGAGAAUCGGUCAUAUUUGAAGAACUUUUCCCACUAUACAAUGACAGUUUGUUGAAUGAUAAAUCUAGAAAAACUAGCUUUCUGAGCUUCAGAAACGUGUCAAGCUCUAGCUUUCCAUGCAAAAAAUUAGAGCGUAGGUUCAAGCAUGCUAAAUUGGAAUGAUUCAUUAUCCAUGAUGGAAUUUGACCCUUUAUAUUGCAAUCUGUUGCAUCUAAAUAGUGUAGCUGGGUGAGAUUUGCAAAAGAUAAUGGGAUGGUUUCGAUAUUAAAUUCAUUCAAACCAACAGCCAAGACACUUAGCUUGUUAAGAUUUGCCAAGGAUGUAGAGGGGUCCCCCCUAAAUUUGUUAUCUCUAAGGUAUAUCUCCGUGAGUUGUGUGAGGUUUCCAAUUGAAGAAGGAAUAUACCCAGAAAAAUGGCAAUGUGGAACUGAUAGGAUAAUCAAAGAACUAAGAUUUCGAAUGGAUACUGGGAGUGUGCCAUAGAAACCUGUUUUGUCAAGUAGUAAGUUGGUGAGUGAACUAGAUUGAAACUCAGGCAAACUACCAUUGAGAUUUGGAUUAUAUCCCAAAUCCAAAAUUUUCAAGUUUGGAAGAUGUAAUACUCCAACUGGAAAUUCGCCAUACAGCUCAGAAUUGUAAAGAGAUAGUUUUUUCAACGAAGUUAGAUUUGUGAGUGUGUUUGGUAAAGUAGAUGAAAUAGUCACAAAACUAAGAAAAAGGAUCUCGAGUUUUGUUGAGUUUUGAAUUAUGCUUUUGAGAAUGGACAAUUUGAGUUGCAGCAGAUUUUCUGUCGCCAUGAAGCCUAGAUCAAGAGACAACAACUUAGACAACUGUGAAACUUGUGGUGGAAUUUCUCCGGAAAAUAAACUACGAGAAAGGUUCAGAAAUUUUAGUUGUGAAAGCUCGCCUAUCUUGGAUGGGAUUUGAGAGUAAUUGAAGUCAUUGUCAGAAAGAUCAAGAACUCGAAGGUGCACAAGGCGAAAGAGACUGCUAUUUGCAUCCAUUGUACCAUAGAUUUGGCUGCUCCUAAGAUCGACGUGAAUCACAUGAUCUGUGCGCUCAUGACAUUUAAUGCCAUCCCAUGAGCAGCAAUCUGUGCUGGAAUUCCAAGAUGCUAUUUUUGGAGAACCAUGGGCUAAGUUAUUGAUGACAAAGCCUUCCUUAAAUUGCAACAAGGCAUGGCUUUCAUCACCAUGACACUUUGGAUGAAUUUGAGGAAAACAUGUAGUAAAUGUGAAAGAGAAAAGUGAAUAAAGGAAAAGAAAUUUUAGUAACAAAACAAGAGACCUGACAAACACCAUUUUAUCUUCCACAUAUUUCAUUUUCUGUCCAUUUAUGGUUUUCGCUUUCUAAUUUCAGUACAUUUGUCUCUAUUUGACUCAGCAAUUUCCUCUGAUUUUCUUCCUACUUGCAAUUUUGGAAAACAAUUUAAUAUUUUGACUUAGUCAAUUAUUCCUGUGCAAUUUUAUUUCGUAUUAGACAACAAUUUGUUUUUCCCUUUCAUAUACUCAAUAUUUUAUUAUUUGGUUGUAUGCAUAAAAACUUUAAUCUAGAACUGACUAUCAAUUUUAAGGCAUUGGAGCCUUCCAUGCAUUACCAAGAAGGCUACAUCAUUAAAUACUAAAUUGCUUUUAUUAUCUUUGAGAUUUCAUCUUAAUUGUUGAUAAUGAUAUUUCCAACGAAAUGAGUUAAGUUUUCACGUUCACAACAAAAACAACAUGAAAUUUUAUAAGGAUAAUGAUUUUUUAGUGCAAAACACCUUAAACGAAAUUCAACGAAGAGUUAUAACAUUAGUUUUGUUUCCAUCCAUCCAUCCAUGUAUUCCUUUAAAUGGAACUAUUUUAGUAUUAUUUUUAAUUAAAAAAAUAAUUUUGAUCGUAACUACCCCGUGUAUUCCGUAAACUGGGUGUAAAGUUAUUAGCUUCAAAUUAAAAAGGUACAAGUAUAGUGCAUCCCUUGCACACAUUCGUCACUUUUCGCACAAAAAGUUUUGCACCAUAUAUCAUUGUCCUUUUUAUAAUUGUAAAUUGGAUAUCCAAAAAUCGAUCCAAUCUAAACAUUUAGUUGGAUCAGAUUUUUGUCACAACAAAUUUCUUAAUCCCUAAUAUGCAUCAUUGAGAGAUUUUUUUGAAGGAAUGCAUAAUUGAGAGAUGUUAUGCAUCAUUGAGAGAUAAUCACCAAAGUUUCAAAUUAUGAGAAAUCUUUAGUACAAUUCCAUGUAUUCUCUGGUGAACUAAAAAAUGCUUAGAUUAGAUGGCACGAGUCUAUUCUAACUUCAUCAAGGUCCUGGGUUCGAAUCUAGCUAUGUUUGGGCAUGCAGUGUUAAAAACUUUAGGGAGAGUUUUCCUCCCAUUUGGGGGAGGAUUAGUCUUCUUCGAAGUUUCGCGCGUGAAAGAUACCCAGUUUACACACAAAAAAUGUAUUCUCUGGUGAAAAUAUGGGAGAUUAAUUUCUUAGUAGUGAAGGCAACGUGAAAGAAAAGUAGCAUAGCAUCCCAAUAAUUCUAGCAUAUCUCCCUAGUGUGGUAUAUGCAAGGACUAUAGCAUAGUUCACUAGUUGUAUUUGCCCUCUGAAAAAAUGUGGUAAUCUUCCUACUCCUUGGCCCUUUGAAAGACAUUAAGAAAGCAAUACCUACUUGCUUAGACCAAUCUGUCAAAGUUUAUUCCAUAUGAAAAUUUAUUACAAAUAUCACAAUUCACAACAUUCAAAUUCAAUAUAAGCGUUUUUAAAUCUGAACAUAAUUUAAUCAAAUUUGACAAAUGAUCUCCCAUCUAUAUUACAGAAGAUUUCACCAGCAUAAGAUUUAUUUGUAUCACAAUCUUCUAACCAGUGACUGUCUAGUACAAGCCAUAACAAUGAGUAAUUAGACUAAAAUAUAAAUACAACACUGUCAUGAACUCUCGACUUUUGAUGCUGAGCCACACAUUCUGAAAUCCACAUAAGAUUUCUGAUCUCCUGCUCCCUUAACCUCAUAUAGGCGAAGAACACAACAUAGUGAAACUGAAAACAUAGUCAAAUUAGGAUGGCUUAGUGAUGAAUAAGAUAUAAGAACACUAUACGAAAACAUUUAUAAUUAAGCAAAUGAAUUUCCUUCCAGCUUAAUAUUAUGAUAUUCUGAACUGUUAAAAAAACAAACCUGUUGCUCAAAUGCUAAGCAAUUCUUCUUGACUUCCUCCUCAUAGAUUUCCUUCCUUGUCAAGCAUCUGACUCUCUCCAUACGAUAACUUAUCAAAGAUGGAUUGAUAAGGAGGGCAUUUUUCCAUAACAGCACGAACCUACACGAGCAACCAUUUAAGAGAAUUAAGGCUCAAAAAGCAAUACUAAAAGAAAUAAACUAGAAAUCAAUUGAUGUUAUGGACAACUAUUAUAAUUCUCAAGUAUUUCAGGGCCGGUGCCAGCAAGAAAUUGGCAGCCAAAAGCAACUAAAAAUACAAAUGAAGUAACAGGCAAUCGAUGAAAGUUCUCAAAAAAUGAAAUGAAAGUUUCAAAGAGAGGUUAAGGUCAUACAACAGAACUUAAACCAAGGAUAAGAGGAAUAAUAUAGUUGCAACAUAUUACAUUGACAUGGCUACUAAUUUAGAAACAACUCUACCACCCUAAGAAACACAAAUUGAAAGACGGAAAACACAGACAGCAAGUUAUGGUAAUAUUCACAGCCCUCCUAUCGGCCUCAAAAGCUAGAAGGUCAGACAUUAUCUCAGCAGUAGCACCACCAAGUUUCUGUUUGUGAAUAACAUUGAAGACGUUGAUGAAAGUCAGGGGGAAAUCACAAGGGAAUACAAAUAAAUAGCUGACAAAAAAGAGAGUUGGACACUUCACCUGACAAAAAAGAGAGUUGGACACUUCACCUGACAAAAUCUGUAAAAGUCUUCAAGGUAUGCCUUGUAAAGAGUGUUCCUCAUUAUUUUGAUGUUCAUGUCAUCCAAGUCCUGAAAAUUAACCAAAACCAUGAGCACAUACAUCAAAAAAAUAAACCAAUUUCAUAUAAACAUAUUAGGUUAAAACGGAAAUUAUAAACUAUUAAAGUCAGUGAUGCCAUUGCAUAUAAUAUCAAAGUAUUGUCUUCCAGUGCCUUUCAGUUUUUGAUAAUUUUACAUUACAUUUUUUUAUUACAAUCUUUUUUUCUUACAACAAACAAUCUAUAUUGUAUAAUAAUUAGAGGGUAGAUAUAGAUAAUUUUCAGUUUCUGCAAUAGAACAACAAUUCUAUCAUGUGACCAUAUCUGCAGAGUAAAAAUGAAAAUACAUUCAUUUCAGAUUUUCUUACACACACAAUAAUGAUUUGAGAAAAUGAAAGGAAUGAAAUAUAACUGCAUGUCCGACACCAAACACGUUUUAAAUCUGAAGUUUCUGGUGUUACAUAGACUUGUGCUUCUAGUAAAUACACUGACAGAGCAAACAGAAAAUGCAAAGUUCAGAUACAUGAUAUAUUCUAAAAAUGUUGACAACGGUUCUGUAGCUUGGCAUGGCAUAUGCUUGACAAUGGUUUUGGAUGGUACUACAUCAUAUCAUUGAGUAUACACCCUUGUACUAAUAAUACACUGAAAAUUGAAUAAAUAAUUUAGGAAAUGUUUAUAAUUAUUAAACAAUCAAUUAAUCAAGAAACGAUAAUGUUGAGAACAAAUUGAGAUCAAAUUAAUCCGAAAAACAAAAAUGCCAAGUUAUGGAGAUAAGGAUCCUAGAAGAGACAUGCAUCUUGAUGUCAUCCUAACGCUGUUAAUACGCUUAUCUCUUUGUUCUUUAAAGCAAAUAUUCUACCAUUAGAUUUCAGCAUAAUGUUAGAGGGUUUUGGGUUACCAUAUGUUCAGUACGAAGUUUCCACUGUCGUUUACAAGUAACUAAUCUCCGUAGAAAAACUUGUGGUCAAACAAAGUGAGUUAUGAAUCAAAAUAAAGUGGGUCAAUCAAGUGUUUCACAUAUCAAUAUAAAUUUUUUGGAUUCUUAGUUUAGCCACAAUUUUAUGAAUUUAAUUUCACGUUUUCUUUCAAAUUCAAUUUGUUUUAGGCUGCAACCUAAAGAGAUCUAUCUACCUUGUUUGAUUUCUCAACACUAUCGGAUUCAGACCGCUAGGCACAUUACUCAUUUUGCUUCUUCUUAUGUUUAUGCAUUGAUGAUUACUUUUUUAUUUACUACUUUAUUCAGAGGCAUAUAUCAAUUACUAAAUUGGACCGAAGUUAAGCACCUUUAAUCAGUAAAGGAGACAGUCAUUUAUUUGUUUCUUUUUCUUCCUAAUUGGCUUAAUCCCUUCACUUAUAGACUCUCUUGAUAUCCUUAUACAUUUAAUGUAGAAAUUGAUUAAAUAUUGCAUCAUCUAGAAUGACUUCAAUGUUGGAGUAAAAAUAACUAGCAGGAAAAGAACACUAUAAAUAACAAUUCAAUUAUAGGCCACUAGAAUUAUACUUUUUGGGUUUUGAGAUUAAACCUCAUUGAAAUACCAAAAUAUAAUUCAAAGAAUGCUCUUGCUAUAAAUACAUAGAGUUUUUGGUGUUCAAACAACCUUUAGUUCAUAAUAUUAUAAGAACAAAAGGAAACUAAAGCAAAUAGAGAGGACUUAGAUGUUUAUUGCUUUGAAACUCCAGCAAAAAGUCCACCGCCAUACCCAAUCGGAACUGCUUUCCGUUCUACCCUGAACGAAUGUUGAGAGAAAGAUCUAGUGCUUCAAGGUUAGUUGUUUGAGAAGUUGAGCAAAACGAAACCUUUCAAGUCGCCUAUGACUUUUGGUAUCUCAUGGAGCUUUCUAGUUGAGCAAAGCUUGCAUGAUUAUUUUUCCUUGAAAUAUCAAUUGCAAUUGUAGUGCAAAACUCUUGGAGCCUAUCUAGAUGAUGAAGUCUUCCUUAUUGAUUCAAAAAGAUAAAGUCUUCCUUAAAUUGCAACAAGGUAUGGCUUCAUCUAUACGACACUUUGGUUGAAUUAAAGGAAAAACAUGUAGUAAUUAUGAAAGAGAACAAUGAGUAAAGGAAAAGAAACUGGACUAAAAAAACAAGAGACCACAGAAACACCAUUCUAUCUUAAUCUUUUAAACUGAAACAUUGAGAUAAAAUACUAGGCAUAUAUUAUUGAUAAUAAUUUUCAGGGAUGUUCAUCAAACUGAUUAGGAUUAAGUAGGACUUCUUCGUUCCGAUUUUCACAAUUUAAUUGCAGAACUAUUUUGUUUUUGUUAGGUUAAAUUGCUUAUAGUCAAUAUUCUUUGUGUUCUACUUUGCCUCUCUCAGUCAUCAAUGGAAAAUACUUUUGCUCCUUCAUGAAUGUCAUAAUUUUUUUUCAUUACUGGAAAAUAUUUUUGCUACUUCAAGAAAGGCUGUAAAUUGAUAACUUAAGGCAUAUAAGUUGUGGUAAAAGGAAACUAAAACAAAUAAGAACCAUACAAAGGAAACUCUUACAAUAUGCAAUUACAAGAAAACUCUUACAAUAUGCAAUUACAAGAACAGAAGAUAACUCUUACAAUAUGCAAUUACAAUUAUAAUUGCUUUUACAUAAAAUGGAAGACUAAGAUGUUUAUUGAGUUUGGACCCAAAAAAACACUCACUUAUGUCUCUUAAAAAUCUUAUUAAGCAAAAUUAUAACUGAAACGCCAAGGUAAUCUCUAUACCAUGUGUGAGAGUUAACUUAAAAUCAGAAUUCUGGAGUAUCGCGCCACGAUUGGUGAAGCAAAAUUCUGAGGAAGUUUCUGGAAAUUUCGUACCACGAUGGCUCCGUAUCGUGGCACGAUGGUCGCGCUGAAGAUAUUUUUAAAACGUAUUUUUUAGCAAGAUUUGUUUCAGUUUUUUAAGGGUUACUCUCCACUAUAAAUACAAGCCUUGAAAAACAAGGUUUAGAAGCCAACAUACAAACUAGGGUUUAUAGAGAUUUUCUCUUGGCAACAACUCUAGGGUUGGGAUUGUUGUUGAUUCACCUUGGACAAAACACUAUUAGGAUUGAGUCUCUUGGUCACGGGAAGAGGCUGGGACUUGGGUAGAAUUAGGUUUGAAGACUGAUUCUUGUAACUCAAUAUCUCUUUGUAAAGAAACUCAUAUCAUUAUAGUGGAUCGGAGAGCUGCUCUCUCCCCCAGACUAGGUCAUCAUUAGACCGAAUUGGGUAAACAAAUUCUUGUGUUCAUCUUCUUCUUCCUUUUAUCUCUUGCUGUUUUACUUUUGUUUGGAUUAAUUGCUAUCCACUUGAUUUGAUUGCUUGGUAUUAAUUUGCUCCACACAUCAAGUUUAUAUUGGUGUGUUUCUCAACGAAUUCACAACACCAUGCAAAUACCUGCAGAAAGUAAGUGUUUCCCAAUGCCACUCCAGCAACAAGUCCACCGCCAUAUCCAAUCAGAACUACUGUCCAGUAUAAUUCAAUGAAAGAUUUUGAGUCGUCAUCAUCAUCAUCAGAAGUAGAAGGCCCUGCAGGAUCUAUACACUUCUUUAACAGCUGAUCCCCACCUUUGAAUGUAGAAAACUGAUUAUUUUGUGGUAUAGGACCUGUAAGAUUGUUAAAUGACACAUUUAAGUAUUCCAAAAAGGUGAUUUGUGCCAACUGUUGGGGAAUUUUCCCUGAAAGACUGUUGAGAGAAAGAUCUAGUGCUUCAAGGUUUGAAAGCUUCCCUAAGGAAGAUGGAAUGCUGCCAAUAAGCAUAUUAUUUGACAAGUUUAGCAAAACAAGACCCUUUAAUUCGCCUAUCAUUUGUGGUAUCUCUCCGCUGAUUUUGUUGCUUGAAAUAUCAAUGGCUAUCAAGCUGUAAAAUUUUUGAAGCUUCUCAUAAACCCUGGCCAGUCCUUUGUUUGACAUUGUGAAAGAAUAAAACUUUUCUUCUAACGUAUGAUAUUUUCCUGCAUAGUUCGAUCUUAAGUAAGACUCGGUACUGUAACUGACUUGCAUUGGAAGUAUUCAUUGCUUUCCAACUUUGGAUCAUUUCUGUUGGAAAACUGCCAGAGAAAUCAUUGUGAGAAAGGUCAAGAAUGUGAAGUAUGGAAAAUGUGCAUGUCAUGUUGCCAGAGCACCUAAUGUCUCCAUGGAAUUCAUUGUUACUUAAAGACAAUACCUUCAACUCGGGUAACUCUCCCAUCCAGAAUGGAAAUGAAUCAUUGAUGUUGUUAUAACUAACAUCAAAGAAUUCCAGCCUUCUAUUGUUGACCAAAGCCCUUGGCAACUGACCCUGCAGAUUGUUGUUGCUAAGAUCAAUCUGUUGAAGGGAAUUUCCUAUCAUGUAUGUUUGAGGAAUGAGGCCAGAUAAUUUAUUCCCUUUUAGAUCCAGACUUUAUAAAUAUUGGCUAAAGUUCCCUAGACAUGAAGGAACAUUGCCGCUUAAGUUGUUGAACGAUAAAUCAAGUUGUGUGAGUGAUUUGAGAUUGCAUAUGGAUGGGGAUAUUUCUCCUGUCAAUGAAUUGUGGUUAGUGAGUGUAUUUAAUGCUUGAAUUCCAAGAUGUUGUUUUUGGAUAACUGAGAGGGUAAUGUUUGUCUUUUUAAUAUUAGUGAGUGUAUUUAAUGCUUAACAUUUGUUUACGAUGCUGUAUUUGUAAAAAUAUUCAAAAAACUUACAUUAAUUAAUAAUUAUAUUGGUUAAGAUGUUUUUUGGUUUUUCUUCUUAUAAUAAGGACACGAGAGAGUAUUUAUUUGUUCCUAUUCCUUCCCAAUUGGCGUAAGCCCUUCUAUUUGAGACUCUCUUGAUAACAUUUAUAUAGAAACAUAGGACAGGAAAGUCAUAACCAUAGGAGAGAGAUGUAGACCUUAUUGAUGCACAUGAAGUAACUUUGUGUAUUAAAUGAAAAGAAUGGUAAAUCGACGUACUUGAGUUUCAUAUUUAUAGGACUCUAUGACACUCAUCAUUUGUAACUCAAAUCUGAAUUACAACUAAUUUACAACCAAUGAGGCAGGGACAUCUCUAGCAUUAGCCGUGUCGCGGUGUCCAGCACACAUCGGUGUCUGAUACUCAUACCGAUGUCCUAAAAUAGUUUUUAUUUUUUAUUUUUGCUUUGACACUUCUUUCGAGUUCUUUGCUAAUGCUCACAACCAAAUCAUCCCUUCAUUUCUUUUUUCUGUUAAAAGAAAAUUGAAUAUAGGGCACCUGAGAUAAAUAGAGUGUUGGGUUUACGUGCUCCUGAGGUUAUUAAUGUUCAAAGAAGAAGAACACUACAUGAAUUGCCACACUUUGAUGGCUGGGAUGAUCUUGUGUCUGGGUUUCAAAUCUGAAAUGCCACUCAAGAAGGUAUUUACACUACUAUCAAUCUUGUAUGAAAAUGAAGUGAUUAGUUCUGGUGAGUUAAUUGCUUCAAACUUUAAGGAAAUCGUGGAUUCCAAACAUACUACACUACACUGGGACAUAACUGUCUGAUAAAUCUGCUUUGUGAACAAGAGAAGGUUCAAGUAGAAGCAAAUGAUAUUUUUGUGAAUUCAAAGGAGCCUAUUAAAUGACAAAGCAAUGUUGGUUUAUGAAAUGUACAUGCAAGAAGGAAGGACGAAAUCAAAGGGCACAUGAGGAGAAACCUCAGAUGAUGGAGGAGGAUCCUAUUUCACAAGCUCCACAUAAUCAUCCCGCCCACCUAUUCUUGAAGAUUAUAUGUAUGUGAUGCGAUGUGAUGGAAAACUAGGCUCAGGAUGCUUCUUCUCAACUAUACAUUGACCCUCUUUACUUUUCUCAAUGAUUCACGGAGGCAGCCAACCAACACCGCUAGAGACCUCGUAGAGGAAAUGCUUAACAGAGGUUUGGGAUUGAAGAGAAUAUGAGAGCCGAUAUCCAUUAGUAGAGGGGCAAGGCAGCUGAGAGAAAAAAAACAAUUGCAGGCUGACUUUUACAUGGUCAGAGGUGAGGAUCAUGAGAAUUUGGCGCUUGCCCCACCAGAGGAUUUCAUGUAAUCUGGGCACAUUGUCUAGCCCAUUUUCGAUCUUUUAUUUUCUUUUCUAUUUUCAGUAAUUUAUUUUGAUUUUGAGUUAAAACUAGGUGUUGCAAGUGUUUAUUUGGAUUUCAGUUGUAUUCUCCUAUCUUCUGUUCUGCAAUGUUCUUAUUUAUUAUUAAUGAAUUUUCUUGUUUUUCAAAUUUACUAGUUUAGUAAAAAUCAUUUCACCAUUAGUACUUCUAAAGUUCAUAAGGAGGAAGAUCCUUGCAUUGAUAUUCAGCGUUUGGAAUGAUUAGGUGGCUACAACUUCUGGAAAAUCUUAGCUUGUGAGGUUUGAGCCAAAAAAAAAUUCAAUUUGUUUCUACUUAUACAAUUGUUCCAUGCAACUGUCAUUUUUAGAACCUUUGAACUUGCAGCCUUUGUUAAGGAAAACUUAAGCUUUAGGUUAGAUCAUUUUGGUCAGUGACAAACUGCAUAACAAGCCUAGAGACCUUAGGAGAUUUUGACCCAAUUUCGUGUUGGAGUUAGGCAAUGUUAUUUUUUUUUUCUAUGCUUAAUUUCAAGUUUAGGGUUGCAGUUAGAACUAGCAAUGUUUAUGUUUGGGGUAGGGGUAGCAGAGAACCCAAGAGAUCACAAUGUUUUUCAAUUUUUUUUAAAUAUUGGACUAAUAUGUUUAUUGCUUUGGACUCAUAUGACCCUUUUAAGCUAUAACAUAAAAACAACUCACUAAUGUCUCUUAAAAAUCUUAUUAAGAAAUAAUGUAAAUGAAACGCCAAGGUAAUCUCUACACCAUUCAAAUACCUGCGGAAAGUAAGUGUUUCCCAAUGCAAAUCCAGCAACAAGUCCACCGCCAUAUCCAAUCAGAAGAACAGUCCAGUCUAAUUCAAAGAAAGAUUCCGAGUCGUCAUCAUCAACAUCAGAAGUAGAAGGCCCUCCAUGAUCUAUACACUUCUUCAACAACUGAUCCCCAUACAAACCUUGGUUACCCUCAAAUGAAUCAUCUUUGAAUGUAGAAAACUGAUUAUUUUGUGGUAUAGGACCUGUGAGAUUGUUAAAGGACACAUUUAAGUACUCCAAAAAGGUGAUUUCUGCCAACUGUUGGGGAAUUUUUCCUGAAAGACUGUUGAGAGAAAGAUCUAGUGCUUCAAGGUUUGAAAGAUUCCCUAAGGAAGAUGGUAUGCUGCCAAUAAGGUGGUUAUUUGACAAGUUGAGUAAAACAAGUCCCUUCAACUCGCCUAUAACAUGUGGUAUCUCUCCACUGAUUUUGUUGCUUGAAAUAUCAAUGGCUAUUAAGCUGUAGAAAUUUUGAAGCUUCUCAUAAACCCUUGCAAACCCUUUGUUUGACAUUGUGAAUGUAUAAAACAUAUUUUGUGUUGUAUGAAUUGGUCCUGCACUGUUCAAUGUCGAGUAAGAUUCAUACUGUAAUUGACUUGUGUUGGUAGUUUUCAUUGUUUUCCAUCCUUGGAUCAUUUCUGAUGGAAAACUUCCAGAGAAUUCAUUGUGAGAAAGGUCAAUGAUGUGAAGCUUGGGAAAUGUGCAUGUCAUGUUGCCAGAGCACCUAAUGUCUCCAUGGAAUGCAUUGUUACUUAAAGACAAUACCUUCAACUCGGGUAAAUCUUUCACCCUGCAGAUUGUUGUUGUUGAAAUCAAUCAUCUGAAGGGAACUUCCUAUCAUGUAUGUUUGAGGAAUGAGGCCAGACAAUUUAUUCCCUUUUAGCAUUAUAUUUUCUAAAGAUUGGCUAAAGUUACCCAGACAUGAAGGAAUGUUGCCGCUUAAGUUGUUGAUCGAUAAAUCAAGAGUCACGAGUGAUUUGAGAUUGCAUAUGGAUGGGGGUAUUUCUCCUGUCAAUGAAUUGUGGGAAACAAGUAAGCUUAUUAGACUUGCUUUUUUCCACAACCAAUUGGGCAGCAAUGUCAUAUUGUUGUUUGACAACAUAAGAAAUUCCAGAUCAGGCAUGUCUCUUAUAAAUGUUGGAAUCUCAACUAAAUUGCAUGAAGCCAAUUGUAAGACUCGAAUUUGAGAAUCGGUCCUAUGGGAAGAACUUUUUCCACUAUACAAUGACAAUUUGUUGAAUGAUAAAUCUAGAAAAACUAGCUUUUUGAGGUUCAGAAAUGUGUCAAGCUCUAGCUUUCCAUGCAAAAAAUUAGAGCGUAGGCUCAAGUAAGCUAAAUUUGCUAGAUUCAUUAUCCAUGAUGGAAUUUCACCCUUUAUAUUGCUAUUUGUUGCACCUAGAAGUUCUAGUUGGGUGAGAUUUGCAAAAGAUAAUGGGAUGUCACUGCCAAUAUUGACUGAGGAUAUAUCCAAGGAAGUUAAUGAUGAGAGCUUACCGACCCAUGAGAUGGUCUCAAUAGUAAAUUCAUUCCAAGCAACACUCAACAUGCUUAGUUGGGUAAUAUUUGCCAAGGAUGCAGAAGGGUCACCCCUAAAUUUGUUAUUAUCAAGGUAUAUCCCCCUGAGUUGUGUGAGGUUGCCAAGUGAAGUAGGAAUAUUUCCAAAAAAAUGGCAUUCUGGAAUUGAUAGAAUAACUAAAGAAUUAAGCUUUCCAAUGGAUACUGGCAGUGCACCAGAGAAACCUGUAUGAUCAAGUGCUAACCUGGUGAGUGAACUAGACUGAAACUCAGGCAAACUACCAUUGAGAUUUGGAUUAUAUCUCAAAUCCAGAAGUUCCAAGUUUGGAAGAUGAAAUACUCCAACUGGAAACUCUCCAUACAAUUCAGAAUUGUAUAGAGACAGUGCUUUCAACGAAGUUAGAUUUGUGAGUGUAUCUGGUAAAGUAGAUGAAAUUGUUACAUGACUAAGAUGAAGGGUCUCAAGUUUUGUUGAGUUUUGAAUUAUGCUUUUGAGACUGGAUAAUUUGAGUUGCAGCAGAUUGUCUGUAGCUCUGAAGCCUAGAUCAAGAGACAACAACUUGGACAACUGUGAAACUUGUGGUGGAAUUUCUCCAGAAAAGAAGCUCAGGGAAAGGUUCAGAUGUUUUAAUUGUGAAAGCUCACCUAUCUUGGAUGGGAUUUGAGAGUAAUUGAAGUCAUUGUCAGAAAGAUCAAGAACUCGAAGGUGCACAAGGCGAAAGAGACUGCUAUUUGCAUCCAUUGUACCAUAGAGUUGGCUGCUACUAAGAUCAAUGUGAAUCACAUGGUCUGUGUGCUCAUGACAUUUAAUGCCAUCCCAUGAGCAACAAUCUGUGCUGGAAUUCCAAGAUGAUGUUUUAGGAUAACCAAGAAGAUCAUCAGAGGCUAAGUUAUUGAUGACAAAGCCUUCCUUAAAUUGCAACAAGGCAUGGCUUUCAUAUUGAUGACACUUUGGCUGAAUUUGAGGAAAACAUGUAGUAAAUGUGAAAGUGAAAAGUGAAUACAGGAAAAGAAAUUUUAGUAACAAAGCAAGAGACCUGACAAACACCAUUGUAUAUUUUAAUAUUUUGAACUGAAUGUUUUGGAUGAAAUGCUAGACACAUAGUAAGUGAUUCUUAUAGUAAAUGAAAAUGUUUUGUAGUGAAUUUGAUUAUCAUUGACCGUGCAUUUUGGUUUAGGACUAACAUCAUAAGUCUAUAUCUUGGCUCAGCCCAUUGGAGAGGCUAACUUGAUCAACUCCAAAAAUACAAGACUUUGAUGUAACAUAAUAUAAUCUCUAAUCAAAUUAUGUGGGCCAAUCCAAUACACAAGGUCUAUUUGAUGUUUUAUCAUGUAGUGAGGCUUUCUUAUCUUCCACAAAUUUCAUUUUCUGUCCAUUUAUGGUUUUUGCCUUCUAAUUUCAGUACAUUUGUCUCGAUUGUUUGACUCAGCAAUUUCCUCUAAGUUUCUUGCUACUUGCAUCUUUGGAAAACAAUUUAAUAUUUAGACUUAGUCAAUUGUUCCAGUGGAAUUUUAUUAUCUCAACAUUUUAUUAUUUGGUUGUAUGCAUAGAACUUUAAUCUAGAACUGAGUAUCCAUUUAAGAGCUUGCACAAAAAUAUUGAAUAUAAUUUUAAAAAGUUAAGCAUGCGUAAUUGAAAAAACUUCAGUUUUAUAUAAUAUGUUCAGUAGUAAAAACUUCAGUUUUAUCUUGAUCUUGUCAAAAUGCAGUUUUAUCUGUCAUUGUUUAGAAUCAUCCAUUAAAAUUAUAUAAUAAAAAAAUUUGUACAGUCCUAAUGUAUACUUUUGAAAUUUAACAAGUCUUUUCUUUAUGUUAAGGUCAGUCUUCUAGAAGUACAGGUUAAGGUCAUAUAACAACACUUAAAUCAAAAAUAAGAAAAAUAAUAUAGUUGUAGCAUAUUACACUGACUUGGAUAAUAAUAACAACAAAUUUACCAACCUGAGAAACACAAUCUACAAGGUCUAAAGAAGCAUACAAAUUGAAAGAGGAAAAACACAGUUUAUCUAACUAUGUAUUAACCUAACAUAUCACACAACUGAGAUGCAUAUCAUAGCUGAUCAAUGUCCUCACAGACAGCAAGUUCCUCAUGACCAUAUGGAUAGCUGUUUAAAAUAAGUCAACCAUUAGUAAAAGAAGUGUCAAAAAGCAGUAUAUUGAUUUUAUUUUUCUUUUUUUAAAAAUAUAUAGCUGAAAGAUUAGAGCUUACAACAAACCGAAGUUGGAGUACAAUUUCCUACGGUCAUCUUCGGUAAGCUCAGUACCAAUGCUGCACAAAGCGGAAACCAUGAGAUGCUAGUUAUGUGGAUGUCCAGAUAAACAAAAAGAUUAUACAAAGACUGGUUAGUAAUUUUUACCUAGUUAUGGUAAUAUUAACAGCCCUUCAAUCAGCCUCAAAAGCUAGAAUGUCGGACAUUAUCUCAGCAGUAGCACCACCAAGUUUCUGUUUGUGAAUAAAAUUUAAGUUGAUGAAAUUCGGGUUAGAUGAUUUACCUCUGAUGUAAUGCACUCAGAGAAGUAUGGAGCCAGAGGAGUGUCAACAAGAACCAGCCUGUAAAGCUCCCGCAUAUUCUGAGCAACUGCCAGAGUUGCAAUGCUGAGGAGAAUCCCACCGAAAAGAAGAAAAAACAGAAGUAAAAUCAAUAUUCUAUGUGCCGUAACUAAGGUCUCUUUCUAGGCUAAAAAAAGUUCAAUAUAUAUAGGCUCAAAGUCUUUCUAGUUUGGUAAUAGAGAAAAAAAAGAUAUGUAGUUUGAUGAAUGUCUCUUUCUUUGCAUUCCCCUCAAUCACAAUGCUUUCAAACAUCCGUAACUAAGGUUGACUUCAGCCCUGGUGUUAGGAACAAGUACUUGAGCUUUGAAAUCAACUUUUAUUGGAUUGCUUCUUCAAAAAAAAAACUUUUAAUGGAUUGGAAGAACUAAAAAGAAACUGAUGCAAUUCAAAAGGUAAAACGAAUUUCAAAAUCAGCAUUACAAAAAGUCAUCAUAAUGUAUAUACCUAGGACUCAGUAGAAAUUUAAAAAUUGAUUGAAUUUUUGAAAUAAUUAAAAGACUAGACUUGUGGGUUGUCUCCCAAGAAACGCGUGUUUAACAUCUCGAGCUUGACGAACCAACACUCUUGUCAGGGUGGAUAUUUAAACAUGUAAUCAACAAUGCUAUUCUUUUUCUUCUUUGUGAGAAGAAUGUUGAUACACUUUGCAUAAGGUAUUAGUCUCACUUGUUCAAAGUUUAUGAACCUUUUCCACCUAUUUUUCCAUUCGUUCUUUCUCUUCUAUGGUGUUUUGUUUUAAGAGAUGUGAUUGAUGCUUGUCCACACCUUAUCUUUCUCCAAAUGAUAGAAUUCACCGGUCACCUCAAUCUGAAUCCAGCCCUUGUCAGUUGUUUUUUAUCACCGAGAAUCAUCAUCAUUGAAUUGCAUUGUGUCGAACACAUUGUUGGAUACUUGCUCAUCAAAUUCCGCUUUUGCUUUCAAAUUCAACUAGUUUUGAUUGUAAACCUAAAGAGAUCAAUCUACUUUGUUUGAUUUCUCAUCACUAUCAGAUUCAAACCAGGUAGCCAUUUACCUAUUUUUCUUCUUCUCAUGUUCAUGCACCAAAGAUUAAUUUUUUAUUUUAAUGGUUAUUUACUACUUUAUUCAAAGGUAUAUAAGUUGCUAAAUUGUAUUUUGUUUCACAUUGCAGUUGAUUAUAACUAAACAUUUGUAUUCUUGGUAUCUGAAAAGCAGAUUCAUCUUUGUCUGUAUUAGUUAUCCAUUAUUGCAUUUGUUUGUCACUUAAGUUGUUUUUUUUUGCUCUAAAGUCAACUUCCAUAAAAAAUGCUUCAUUUUGCUACCAUAGUAUACAUCAUAUAAUCACUUUUUUUUUUCUGCAAUGCCACCAGCCCAAAGACCUAACAGGUCACAUUUUUCCGCAUCACCAAAACUACUUUAUUUCAUACCAACAACAAUUAGUAUACAUACAAAGCAUACUCUUAGGCUUUGUUUGCGAGUUUUGAGGGGAAGGAAAGGAAAGGCUAAGGAGGGGAAGGGAAGGAAAGGGAGGGAAGGGAGAAAGGAGGGAAAACCUUCCCCUUGUUUGGGAGUUAAAAAGCCAACAAGGAAAGGAGAUGGAGGACUUAUGUUAUAAUUUUACUAUUUUACCCUUUUUCCUCUUAAAAUCAAUAUAUUGUUAUACUUCGUAAUUUAACUUUUAAUUUAUUCAAAACAACUUAUCGCAUGAAAAACAAAUUAUUAAGAUCUAUUUUAAAAAACAACUUAUUUAUAAAAAAAAAAAAAAAAAAAAAAAACUUAUUACAAUCACUUUUUAAAAACAACUUACUUAUACAAAACAACUUAUUACGACCUCUUUUUAAAAAUAGCUUAUCUUAUGAAAAACAAAUUAUUAAGAUCUUUUUUUAAAAAACAACUUAUUCAAAAUAGCUAAUUUAUACAAAACAGCUUAUUAUGACCUCUUUUCAGAAAAACAGCUUAUUCAAAACAGCUUAAUACAAUCUCUUAUUCAAAAACAACUUAUCCAAAAUAGUUUAUCUAUAUAAAACAGCUUAUUACGACCUCUUUUCAAAAAACAACUUGUUCAAAACAGCUUAUUUAUACAAAACAACUUAUUCAAAACAGCUUAAUACGAUCUCUUUUUCAAAAACAGCUUAUUCAAAACAGCUUAUUUAUACAAAAUAGCUUAUUACGACCUCAUUUUCAAAAACCGCUUAUUCAAAACAACUUAUUUAUACAAAACAGCUUAUUACGACAUCAUUUUCAAAAACAGCUUAUUCAAAACAGCUUAUUUAUACAAAACAGCUUAUUAUGACCUCAUUUUUAAAAAUCGCUUAUUCAAAACAACUUAUUUAUACAAAACAGCUUAAUAUGACCUCAUUUUCAAAAACAGCUUAUUCAAAACAACUUAUUAUGCAAAACAGCUUAAUACAAUCUCUUUUACUAAAACAGCUUAUUCAAAAUAGCUUAUUUAUAUAAAACAGCUUAUUACGACCUCAUUUUCAAAAACCGCUUAUUCAAAACAACUUAUUUAUACAAAACAGCUUAUUACGACCUCUUUUUCAAAAACAGCUUAUUUAUACAAAACAGCUUAAUAUGAUCUCUUUUUCAAAAACAGCUUAUUCAAAACAGCUUAUUUGUACAAAAUAGCUUAAUACGACAUCAUUUUCAAAAACCGCUUAUUCAAAACAACUUAUUUAUACAAAACAUCUUAAUAUGACUUCAUUUUACAAAAUAGCUUAUUCAAAACAACUUAUUUAUGCAAAACAGCUUAAUACGACCUCAUUUUCAAAAACGGCUUAUUCAAAACAGCUUAUUUAUGCAAAACAGCUUAAUACGAUCUCUUUUUCAAAAACAGCUUAUUUAUACAAAACAGCUUAUUACGACCUCAAUUUCAAAAAUCGCUUCUUUAAAACAAUUUAUUUAUACAAAACAGCUUAAUACGACAUCAUUUUCAAAAAUCGCUUAUUCGAAACAACUUAUUUAUACAAAACAGCUUAUUACGACCUCAUUUUCAAAAAUCGCUUAUUCAAAACAACUUAUUUAUACAAAACUGUUUAUAACGACCUCAUUUCAAAAACCUCUUAUUCAAAACAAUUUAUUUAUGCAAAACAACUUAUUAUGUCCUCUUUUCAAAAAAUAACUUAUUCAAAACAGCUUAUUUAUGCAAAACCGCUUAUUACGAUCUCUUUUUUAAAAACAACUUAUUCAAAAAAACUUAUUUAUGCAAAACAACUUAUUAUGAUCUCUUUUUCAAAAACAACUUAUUCAAAACAACUUAUUUAUUCAAAACUUUUUUUGUAAAAAUAAGUUAUUUUGAAUAAGCUGUUUUUUGAAAAGAUGUCGUAAUAAGUUGUUUUGCAUUAAUAAGUUGUUUUGAAUAAGCUGUUUUUUGAAAAUAGGUGAUAAUAAGCUGUUUUGGAUAAGUAAGCUGUUUAGAAUAAGUUGUUUUUGAAAUAUAGAUUGUAUUAAGCGAUUUUUGACUAAGCAGAUUUUGAAAAUGAGGUCAUAAUAAGCAGUUUUGUAUAAAUAAGUUGUUUUGAAUAAGCGGAGUUUGAAAAUGAGGUCGUAAUAAGCUGUUUUUAUAUAAAUAAGCUGUUUUGAAUAAGCUGUUUUUGAAAGAAAAAAAAUCGUAUUAAGCUGUUUUGCAUAAAUAAGUUGUUUUGAAUAAGCUAUUUUUUAAAAUGAAGUCAUAUUAAGCUGUUUUGUAUAAAUAAGUUGUUUUAAAUAAGCGAUUUUUGAAAUUGAGGUCGUAAUAAGCUGUUUUGUAUAAAUAAGCUGUUUUUGAAAAAGAGAUCGUAUUAAGCUGUUUUGCAUAAAUAAGCUGUUUUGAAUAAGCCGUUUUUGAAAAUGAGGUCGUAUUAAGCUGUUUUGCAUAAAUAAGCUGUUUUGAAUAAGCUAUUUUUUAAAAUGAAGUGAUAUUAAGCUGUUUUGUAUAAAUAAGUUGUUUUAAAGAAGCGAUUUUUGAAAUUGAGGUCGUAAUAAGUUGUUUUGUAUAAAUAAGCUGUUUUUGAAAAAGAGAUCGUAUUAAGCUGUUUUGCAUAAAUAAGCCGUUUUUGAAAAUGAGGUCGUAUUAAGUUGUUUUGCAUAAAUAAGUUGUUUUGAAUAAGCUAUUUUUUAAAAUGAAGUCAUAUUAAGCUGUUUUUUAUAUAAAUAAGUUGUUUUAAAUAAGCGAUUUUUGAAAUUGAGGUCGUAAUAAGCUGUUUUGUAUAAAUAAGCUGUUUUUGAAAAAGAGAUCGUAUUAAGCUGUUUUGCAUAAAUAAGCUGUUUUGAAUAAGCUGUUUUUCGAAAAAGAGAUCGUAUUAAGCUGUUUUGCAUAAAUAAGCUGUUUUGAAUAAGCUGUAUUUGAAAAUGAGGUCUAUUAAGGUGUUUUGCAUAAAUAAGCUGUUUUUGUAAAUGAGGUCGUAAUAAGCUGUUUUGUAUAAAUAAGUUGUUUUGAAUAAUCUGUUUUUGAAAAAGAUAUCGUAUUAAGCUGUUUUGCAUAAAUAAGUUGUUUUGAAUAUGUUGUUUUUAAAAAAAAUAUAUCGUAAUAAGCUGUUUUGUAUAAAUAAGCUGUUUUGAAUAAGCUGUUUUUGAAAAAGAGAUCGUAUUAAGCUGUUUUGCGUAAAUAAGCUGUUUUUGAAAAAGAGAUCGUAUUAAGCUGUUUUGCGUAAAUAAGCUGUUUUUGGAAAAGAGGUCGUAAUAAGCUGUUUUGUAUAAAUAAGAUGUUUCGAAUAAGCGGUUUUUGAAAAUGAGGUCGUAAUAAGCUUUUUAUAUAAAUAAGCAGUUUUGAAUAAGCUGUUUUUGAAAAAGAGAUCGUAUUAAGAUGUUUUGCAUAAAUAAGUUGUUUUGAAUAAGCUGUUUUUGAAAAUGAGGUCCUAUUAAGCUGUUUUGUAUAAAUAAGUUGUUUUCAAUAAGCUGUUUUUGAAAAUGAGGUCGUAAUAAGUUGUUUUGCAUAAAUAAGUUGUUUUGAAUAAGCUGUUUUUGAAAAUGAGGUCCUAUUAAGCUGUUUUGUAUAAAUAAGUUGUUUUGAAUAAGUUGUUUUUAAAAAAGAUUGUAAUAAUUUUAGUAAGGUCUAAAAUUGGAAUUUUGAAUUAUUAAGAGGGCAAAAUUGUCAAUUAGUAUGUUUAACCCCCCAAAACCCUCCAAUUUGGGGGAACUUUAAAAUUGGACAAAUUAAACCCUUCAAAACCCCCCAAAACCUUUCCCUUGUUUUUUUAAAACUUGCAAACAAGGGUUACCACUCCAUAAGCCUUUCCUUCCCUUCCCCUCCCCUUCAAAAUUCAACUCCCAAACAAAGCCUUACUAAAGGAAAGCACAACAACAACAAAAACACAAGGAAUUUCAACUCAUAAGAUCCUUUUUUUUAAGCCAACUAAGUACUUGCAGAAAGAAAGUGCUUCCCACUGCCAUUCCAGCAACAAGACCACCUCCAUACCCAAUAAGCACUAUUUUCCAAUCAAAUUCAAACAAUGAUCCUGAAUCCUCGUCAUCAUCAUCGUCAUCAGAGGUAGAAGGACCUCCAUGAUCUAUACACUUCUUCAACAACUGAUCCCCACACAGACCUUGAUUACCCUCAAAUGAAUCACCUUUGAACGUAGAAAACUGAUUAUUUUGUGGUAUAGGACCUGUGAGAUUGUUAAAGGACAAAUUUAAGAACUGCAAAAAGGUAAUUUGUGCCAACUGUUGGGGAAUUUUCCCUGAAAGACUGUUGACAGAAAGAUCUAGUGCUUCAAGGUUUGAAAGCUUCCCUAAGGAAGAUUGAAUGCUGCCAAUAAGGAGGUUAUUAGAGAAGUUGAGCAAAACAAGGCCCUUCAACUCGCCUAUGCCUUGUGGUAUUUCUCCACUGAUUUUGUUGCUUGAAAUAUCAAUGGCUAUUAAGUUGUAAAUUUUUUGAAGGUUAUUGUAAACCAUGGCCACCCCUUUGUUUGACAUUGUGAGCGAAUAAAACUUUUCUGUUGACGUAAAAUAUUGUCCUUCAUUGUUCGACGUCGAGUAAGACUCGUACUGUAAUUGACUUGCGUUGAAAGUAUUCAUUGCUUUCCAACUUUGGAUCAUUUCUGUUGGAAAACUUCCAGAGAACUGAUUGUGAGAAAGGUCAAUGAUGUGAAGUUUGGAAAAUGUGCAUGUCAUGUUGCCAGAGCACCUAACGUCUCCAUGGAAUUCAUUGUUACCUAAAGACAAUACCUUCAACUCAGGUAAAUCUCCCAGCCAGAAUGGAAAUGAAUCAUUGAUAUUAUUGUAGCUAACAUCAAAGAAUUCUAGAAUUCUGCUGUUUACCUUUUAGAUCCAGACUUUCUAAAGGUUGGCUAAAGUUCCCUAGACAUGAAGGAAUGUUGCCACCUAAGUUGUUGAACGUGAAAUCAAGCAUCACGAGUGAUUUGAGAUUGCAUAUGGAUGGGGAUAUUUCUCCUGUCAAUGAACUAUGGGAAACAUCUAAGCUUUUUAGCCUUGCUUUUUUCCACAACCAUUCAGGUAGCGAUGUUAUAUUGUUGUUUGACAACGUAAGAAAUUCCAUCUCAGCCAAAUCUCUUAUAAAUGUUGGAAUCUCAACUAAAUUGCAUUCAGCCAACUGUAAUAUUUGAAGUCCAGAAUUUGUUAAAUGGGAUGAAUUGUUUCCACUUAACAAUGACAGUUUGUUAAAUGAUAAAUCUAAAAAAACUAGCUUUUUGAGAUUCAGAAACGUGUCAAGCUCAAGCUUUCCAUGCAGAAAAUUAGAGUGUAGGUUCAAGUAAGCUAAAUUGGUUAGAUUCAUUAACCAAGAUGGAAUUUGACCCUUUAUAUAGCUAUUUGUUGCACUUAAUACUUCUAGUUGCGUGAGAUUUGCGAAAGAUAAUGGGAUAUAUCCAAGGCAAAUAAUGAUGAAAGCUUAUCUACCCAUGAGAAGGUUUCAAUAGUAAAUUCAUUGAAACCAACAUUCAAGAGGCUUAGCUUGGUAAGAUUUGCCAAGGAUGCAGAAGGGUCACCCCUAAAUUUGUUAUUUUUGAGGCUUAUCUGCUCAAGUUGUGUGAGGUUUCCAAGCGAAGAAGGAAUAAAUCCAAAGAAACGGCAAUCUGGAAUUCCUAGGACAAUUAAAGAACUAACCUUUCCAAUGGAUACUGGUAGUGUACCAGAGAAACCUGUCCCACCAAGUGCUAAUUCAGUGAGUGAACUAGACUCAAACUCAGGCAAUCUACCAUUGAGAUUUGGAUUAUAUCUCAAAUCUAGAAGUUCCAAGUUUGGAAGAUGAAAUACUCCAACUGGAAAUGCACCAUACAAUUCAGAAUUGUAAAGAGAUAGUUUUUUUAUGAAGUUAGAUUCGUGAGUGUGUCUGGUAAAGUAGAUGAAAUAGUUACAAAACUAAGAAAAAGGAUCUCAAUUUUUGUUGAGUUUUGAAUUAUGCUUCUGAGACUAGACAAUUUGAGUUGCAACAAAUUGGAUGUACUACCUUUAGGACGUACUAUAGCUCUGAAACCUAGAUCAAGAGACAACAACUUGGACAACUGGGAAACUUGUCGUGGAAUUUCUCCAGAAAAUAAGUUAAGAGAAAGGUUCAAAAAUUUUAGUUGUGAAAGCUCACCUAUCUUGGUAGGGAUUUUAGAGUAAUUGAAGUUAUUAUCAGAUAGAUCAAGAACUCGAAGGUGCACAAGGCGAAAGAGACUGCUAUUUGCAUCCAUUGUACCAUAGAGUUGGCUGCUACUAAGAUUGAUGUGAAUCACAUGAUCUGUGUGCUUAUGACAUUUAAUGCCAUCCCAUGAGCAGCAAUCUGUGCUGGAAUUCCAAGAUGAUGUUUUAGGAUAACCAAGAAGAUCAUCAGAGGCUAAGUUAUUGAUGACAAAGCCUUCCUUAAAUUGCAACAAGGCAUGGCUUUCAUAUUGAUGACAUUUUGGCUGAAUUUGAGGUAAACAUGUAGUAAAUGUGAAAGAGAGAAGUGAAUAAGGAAAAAAAAAAUUACAAACAAAACAUGAGACCACACAAACACCAUUGUAUUUGAAUAUUUUGAAAUUGGUCUUUUGGAUGAAAUGCUAGACACAAACAUGUUUUGAAUACUAUAGGAAUGGACUGCAUAUAACAAAUGAAAAUGAUUUCUAGUGAACUUGAUUAUCAUUGACCAAAAAAAACUUUGUUUUCUAUUUUCUAGACAUUUGGCUAUUAUUUGACUCAGCAAUUUGCUCUGAUUUUCUUGCUACUUGCAUUCUUGGAAAACAAUUUAAUUGACUUCAAUCUAGAACUGACUGUCCAUGUAAGAGCUUGCACAAAUUUAUUGAAAAUUUAUAUCAAAGCACGCUCUUUCAAACAACCUUUAUUGCUUUUACAUACAUAGGAAACUCUUACAGAAUGCAAUUACAAGAACAGAAGGAAACUAAAACAAAUUAGAAACAUAAAUAGGGAGGACUAGUAUGUUUAUUGUUUUGGACUCACAACACCCUUUUAAGCCAUAAAAUAAUAACAACUUUAAUGUCUCUUAAAAAUCUUAUUAAGGAAAAUUAUAACUGAAACGCUAACGUGAUCUCUAUACCAUGCAAAUACCUGCAGAAAGUAACUGUUUCCCAAUGCCACUCCAGCAACAAGACCUCCUCCAUACCCAAUAAGCACUAUUUUCCAAUCAAUUUCAAAGAAAGAUCCCGAGUCAUUGUCAUUAUUAGAGGUAGAAGGUCUUGCAUGAUCUUUACACUUCUUCAACAGCUGAUCCCCACACAAUCCUUGGUUACCCUCAAAUGAAUCACUUUUGAAUGUAGAAAACUGAUUAUUUUGUGGUAUAGGACCUGUGAGAUUGUUAAAGGACACAUUUAAGAACGCCAAAAAGGUGAUUUCUGCCAACUGUUGGGGAAUUUUUCCUGAAAGACUGUUGCGAGAAAGAUCUAGUGCUUCAAGGUUCGAAAGCUUCCCUAAGGAAGAUGGAAUGCUGCCAAUAAGGUGGUUAUUUGACAAGUUGAGCAAAACAAGACCCUUCAACUCGCCAAUCACUUGU